rnacentral:lncRNA from 1 species
UUGUUGGUUGUAAUAUUUUCACUCUUAGCAUCAAAGAUGAAUGUCUCCAGUUUAGUACAAUCGUCUAGGUCCAAAUACACCAAAGACGGAAAUUUAAUGUAACUUCCUGAGCUAAAUCUAGCGAGGUUUGGAAGAUGUUGUAGCUCUAGACGGCUUAGCUUAUCAAACAUGUCAUCUGUAUUCUCCUCAUUUCCCACUAUCUCUUCCAUGAUUUGACAAUUAGAUAUUUUGAGAUUUUUGAGUUGUCCGAGACAUUUAGCCAUAGAACUCGAAACAAAAAUCUUAAACUAUCACAUUGAUGCACAAUCAAGGUUGUUAAGUUGGGCAUCUUAACCUGCAUAGCACAUAACAAAAUUCAUAUUUAUUUUAGAAAAUUACAAUUUACAUCGUUAUUGGCCGUAUAUAUUCUAAAUGUGUAGAUAUAAAGUAAAUGUCAUAUAUUUAAAAAGAAAGCUACUAGGCUACUAGGCUACUAGACAGAUGUAUGUCCUUGUACUUUCAUUAAUUAGCAAAGAACAAAUUGAAGUUAAAAACUAUCUGAAAAAAAAUAUAUAGGGCCAAAAUUAUGUUAAUUUAAUUUUAAAUUUAAACUUUUUUGUUUUCGACAAAACAAAAACCUAUUUUAUUUUUAAAUUGAUACCAAAAACACAUUAUUGUGAAAGAUUAUUAUGGUAAGUGGUGAAUUAUCCUAUUAGUUAGAGACGGGUUCAAAUUUUCUAUACCUAAAAUAAGUGUGGCUUUUUGACCCCAAAAAAAAAAGUGUAAUUUCUUUAUGACAUGUCUCAAUACUUGACACUUCUGCACAAACGUAACCUUAACAUAACUCUAGCAAACGUUAAGAAAAAGAAGCCGCUCAUCCUCCUCCUCUCUCUUUCUCUCUCACUUCCCCAAACACAACAGCAGCAAUAGCAAUUGCAUCUCCUUCACACAUUAAAUCCUUAAAUCAAACCCAAAAGCCUCGCCCUUCAAUUUAAUUGCUCCUCCAAACUAUAGGGGACGACCAAAUUUGGGAAGAUUGAAGAAUAAAUCCUUUUUGGUGUAAAAUUCAUUGAAUUUACACCCCUGUCGAUCGAGCGUGAUCUCGACGUCACCAUCGACGAUCUCCUAUUGUAAAUCCUUGGGGUCCUUGCCGUUGACCGUGCAGAACACCGAGACGCAGUUCCAAGAAUCUCCUUCACCGUUACCGCGAGCUCCUUCGGCCAUGGAUCUGUUCCUCAUAACCGUGGUGAUCUUGACGUCAUCAAGGGAGAUGCUGCCGCUGUACUUGAAGACGUGGACGUCCGUGAGGAGGGGGCGGUGAUUGGUGGCGUUGGGAGGGAAGGAAGGGGAAUGGGAGAGAUACCCAUAACGCUGGGCUGCGCUCUGAUUUUUUAUUUUAUUGGGAGUUAACGCCGUUGGUUUGGUUGAGUGAAUGGACAGAUGUCAAAAUUGCAAGAAAGUCAGAGGUGUCACAUUCAUAAAUGGGUGCAGAAGAUUUGACAUGUUAGUUGAAUUUCAAUAAUUGUCACUUAAUAUUACGGUAUAAUGAUAUUUCUCUUUAUUGGUAAGUGAGAAGUUUAAUUUCGAUUCUAGUCAAAAGCGAAUUUGAACUACAUUAUUGUUAAGGCUUAACCAACUUCUUCACUUUUUUAAUGUAGAUAAUAUCAUUUAAAAAAAAAUAUCAAUAGGUGAAUACCGUGGGUUAUCAAAACCUGAUAACUUAAAUAUAUCAUUUAAAUGUUUUUGGCUCAUUGAAAAAAUAAAUCUUAAAUCUUAAAAUGGAAUCUUAAAAAAAAAAAAAAACUGAAAAUAUGAGUAUACCCCUUGGAAUUCAAUUUUCAUUAACUAAAACCCACAAUUAUAAAUUUUUCUGAUAAAAACCCAAUUACUAGGCUCCAAUUAAGCAAUAUCCAUAAUUAAGUAUGACUUGGAAAAAUUGGUAUUUUUGGAUGUCUAAAUCACCCCUAAUAUCAUUAACGUUGGGUCUAUUACUUGUUAUCUACAUUUAUUCUAUAUUAUUUCAUUCAAUUAAACGUUUUGAAAUGUUUAUGUAGAUUUGGAAAAGAAAAAUUUUAGUGUCAUGAUUUCAAUGCAUAUUAAUAACAAAAAUGACAUGAUAUUAGAGUUUUGAUUCCUUAUAUAGUUGUUUUCAUAUUUUUGUAAAAAUGAGCAUUUUUUUACCUUUUCAAAUAAUUGUAACAAGUAAAUUAAUAUUUUUCAAAAAUAUACAUAUGUUAUUUUAUUUAAUUUUUUUCCAUUCAAAUGUUAUUUUAUUCAAAAUUACCAAUAUUUUACACAUAUAAAAUACCAAAAUAACUUCCAAGUAAAAUAAUACAUGCAAAAUUAUUUACCUACAAUGAUUGCCAAAAAAAUAUAAGAAAUGGAACAUAUGAUGGUAAGACAAGUAUAAAGUAGAUACUUUUGUAAUUUACCUAUAGAAUAAAUGAAUGUUGAUUGCGCAAACAACAUAAUAAUAACAAAUGUGCCUAGUAUAUGUAAUAAUACAUGAAAAAUUAUUUACCUACAAAAUAAAAGGAUGUUUUUAGCCAAUUGAUUCAAAGUUAAUUAAUUACCUAUAUUCUACUUAAAAAUAUAGGUAAUUUAUUUCACACAGAUAUAAUAAUAAUGAAAUGUGCCUAAUGUAUACAUGCAAAAUAAUUUACCUACAAUGAUUGUCAAACAAAUAUAAGAAAUGGAACAGAUGAUGGCAAGACAAGUAUAAAGCAUAUACUUUUGUAAUAAUAAUGCACUUAUUUGCCAUAUUUAUGGUGGAUAAUUAAAUUCAUCACCAUAAUUAGGGUGUCGUGGUACAAUUUUAAAUAUUUUGAAAAUAAUAUGUAUUUAUUUGUUUACAUGGCAGUUUACUUCAAAUUUGGAUUUUAUUUGGAUGUUUAAAACGAGAUGAGUUUUUGUCAAGAAAAUAAGUGUUGCAUGAGCUUAUACCUAAAGAACCCAAAAAAAAAAAAACCAUUGGUUAUCAAAACAAAUCUUAAAAAGAAAUUCAAAAUUCGAAGAAGAAAACUACUUGGAGAAAGAAUCAUGCAACCAUUUUGCUAGAAAAAUAACAGAGAAAGUACCUCUCCAUUACUGAAAGUCUCGGUGGUCCACCAACUUCAUACUCCAAAACGAUUUCGUCGGCAUCUGCAUCAAUCGUUCGCUUGUCUUUGAAAAAGAAACCAAUAAGCUUCGGUAGAUUCCGAAGUGUCAAAGAUGUUAACUUUUGAAAGGGCUCGCCUACAAGUUGCCCAUAACAUACACUUUCCAAAAUCACAAGGUCUUCAAGAGUUGGAGAUUCCAGGUUGGGGAAGGUAUUAUGAGAAUAACUCCAACUGACAAAGUUAAUGACAUAUGUAACUUCGUCGUUGUUUUGGACAUGGAGACACUUCAGUUGUUCCACAGCAUCACUGUCAAAUAGAAAGGAAAUAAUAUUCCCACUCUCCUUCCCAUCCAAGUACAAUUGCUCACAUCUCUUUACCAGCAACUUUAUACCUCGGUCGAAUUGAUUUCUCCUGGUGAGCUUGAGUUUUAGCAUGUUAGAGGAGGUUCCGUACGUGUCACGAUAUGUUGUAUCUUUCUAACUUAUCGGAGAACAAGUUCGGUGGAAGAAGGUCAGCAUCUGGAACAUGUAAGUCUAAUGCAGUUAGUUCAGCCAAGUGCUUCAGCUCUGAAACAGUAGCAUUACUUCCUCCGCUAAUGGGACCUUCACCCUCCCAUUGCUUAAAGCUUUUUAUUCCCAUCCUCAAGUCUUCUAGUCUUGUCAAGCUUGAUAUAACACCAGGUGAGAUCAUAACAAGUUCAGAGCAACCGGUCAAAUCCAAUAAUUGUAGCCUUGUCAAUUGCCCUAUUUCUUUGGGCAACUCUUUAAUCUUGGACUUUAGGAGGCUAAGAAUUUUCAAGUUUAUUAGCUGUCCAACAAGAGUUAUGUCUACCAACUCGCAUUGAUCUAAGCACAAUGUGUGGAGAUGCUUUAGGGAUUGAAGAGAUGGAGGUAGUGACUGAAUAUUGAAUCUGGUUACAUCCAACACUUUGAGUUCUUUCAUCCCUUCAAAAAAUUUGCUUGGGAUUUCCUGGGAGUGGCCAAUGUCAUCAUUCACCAAGACCAACAAUUUUAAUUCUGGGCAUUCCCAAGGUACUUCAGGAAGCCUGGGGAUCUUGCAACCUUUUAAGGACAUCCUUGUGCAUUUCCUAAGGAAAUCCUCAGCUGGCCAUUGUUUCACCUCAUCUCCAUAUGCUCUUGAAAAGGCUUUUUGAUCAUCAGUUGCAAUCCGGACAGCAACAUCUCGUACAAGUUCAUGCAUUGUAACAGUGUCAUCGUCAUAGCUGUCCUGCAAUAGGCAAGAAUUUUUUAAUUUUUUAACCAUUCCAUUCAAUGAAGUCCGUGCCUCUUCCACUGUCUCAACAUUUUUUAUCAAACCCAAACCCAUACUAUACUUCAACAAGUCACUGAGCACACUGCUGCUACUCCCACAAAGCAAGAACAAUUGCUUAAGCUCUUGAUCCUCCAAUUGUUCGUAACUCCACUUUAGAGCCAAGAAUGCUUUUUCAUUCAUUUCUUUCUUGUCAAAUCUUUUGAAACUUCUCAACGCAUCUUUCCAUUCCUCCAAACUACUUUCCCUUAAAGCACUUGCAACUGCAACAACCAAAACCGGUAAACCUCCACAUUUCUUUGCUAGCUGGGUUGCUUCUUUCAGCAUACGGUUGUCUUUAACAACAUCACCUGCCAUCUUCUCAAACAAACCCCAACUUUCUUUUUCUCUUAAAAAUCCAAGUUCAAAAUUGUUUUGCGUACGCAUAUCAUAGAAUAAAACUUUUCUUUCUCUAGAUGUCAACAAUAAAUUACACUUCAGCACACCGACGAGUCCCACAGCCUCAAAGUCAAUUCUUUCUGAAACAUUGUCUAAAAUGACAAGAGUCUUCCCAUCCUUUAUCCUGGCUCAUAGGAGAUUCGCCCUUGUUCCCAUAUCCUCAGAUUCAUCAACGUCCAUCCCCAACUUUUUGGCAAUUUCUUUUUGAAUUUUUUCGGCGUCUUUUUUUUCCUUGACAUUUAGUAUUAUAACCACAUCAUCAAAUAACUUCUCUUUCACAGCUUCUCUGUAAACCUCUUUGGCAAGUGUUGUCUUCCCAACGCCCCCUAAUCCGUACACCCCAAUCCUGUUGAUAUCAGGUUUUUUCAGUUCUGUAACAAUAUCCUUCACCAUAGAAAUCCUUGAUUCAAAGGCCAUGUACUCGUCGUAGGCUAUGGCAGAUAUGUCUUCUACGGGAGCUUUGUAAGAAACACUGGAAAACUCUUUCUUUUUAUUUUCAAGUUCUUCAAUCUUUCUCACCAAUUUAGUUGAUUUUCUGCUGAGCUGAUGAUAGGAUAUCAGGUUAGGACAUAUAUAGAGACACUUCGUCGUUGCACGGCCUUCAUCAUCCAAUAAUGCUUCUGCCUCUCGAGAGAUCUCAUCCGCUUCUGUCUGCCAGUUCCGGACAUCAGCUUCCACUUUUUGAUUAACUUUUCUUUUGACUUCUUCAACGUCAUGGUUCAUCCUUUGUUUGACAGCAUCAAAUUUCUUCAAUGCACUCCUUAGAUCUUUAAGGUUGCUUUUGUAGAAAAUGACAUAACUCACUUGGCGUCCAAGUGGUCUAAUUGUGUAGUCAAUUAUUGUAGGAAUAAUUGCCGUGAUUAUCUCCAUCGCCAUGGCACCUUCAGCUUACCAAUUCGUCUGCUUUUUCUAUCUGUUGAAUAUAUACAUACGAAUCCAAACAAAAAAUUUAGGACGCGAGAAAGGUAUUUUUUUUCUUCUUUUUUUUUUUUUUUUUUUUUUUUGUGUUUCCAAAGGAGAUGAAAUUUAAAAAAUGAAACAAUAGGUCAUGCCUCAACUCAUGAUUGAGACUAUGCUUGAAGAAUAACAGAGCAGUACGCAAAUCUUUUGGUUUUCUUUUUCCUUAGGAGAAAUCUGCAUAGUAAAAGCAAAAAGAAGGUUAUACCACACUUGCAAAGUAGAAGUCGAGAUGAUGAACAAGUCUUCAUAUGCAAUUAUUAUACUGAAAAAACUUGAUUGGUACAAAACUAUGAAAACAUGAUCUGCUAUGAAUUUCACUGAGACAUUUUAACAAACACCGUAUUUGCACACGUAGGCGGCCUUGUAGGUGCCGCCGUAGAGGUCUGUGUCGACGGUGACGGAGGUGAGGGAGACCAAUUGCUGCCCAUGAAACAUUUCCCAUCGGAAAAUUUGAGCUUUUUCUAGAUUCUGUGUAAGAAUUUCAAAAAUCCAAUCGUUUAAUUUGGUUUUUCUGGGUUUUCUGCUCUGCUUCUAGUAUCGUUUUUCGCACUCUCUUCUCUACACAGCAUGAAAGUUCAAAGAUUUGUAACUUUCGGGAUUUUUUCAAUGAAAGCUCAUAUCUAGAUUUGAGAAAAUAUUCCAGAGCUUUUUGUCUUCUUAUGAGAUUUCUGCAGAUUUCUUUGCCUUUCUUUUUUUGCCUCUUGGCAGGCUCAGAGGCUCAGAGACUCAAAGUCUACCAAGGCUCUAAAAACUCCAUUUCAGAUCCCCAACAACCUUCUGGUUUUCAGUUCCCACAAUCAAUUUGUACUCAAAAUCUCAACCAAACCGUCCAAAUUCCACAAACUUUGGUUUUAAAUUUUGCCUCCUCUAUUUCACACUUUCAUCAAAGAAAAGUAUUAAAAUGUCAGUCUCUUUUGGUCUCAAAUCAGACUUCACAAUCCGAUCUGUGAAGAGGGCGACGAUGAGACUUUGAGGCUCCGUCGAUCCCACAUCCCAAUGUUAUAUUUUUAAUUUGCCAAAAAGAAAAAAUUCUGCACAAUCAUCAUCCACGUAGGCCACGACGACAAGUCACUCGACAGUUAUCGUCCACGUGGGCACCAUGUUAAACUUUAACGAAGGUUCAUAGUUCUGGAUUAAUGGAAGUUAUGAGGCUGAGAUGAAAAAAAUACUUAUGUAAGAAAGUUUGAAAACUCCAAUACUUCAAGGUAGGGUUGGAAAAAAUUCCCAAAAAUUCCGAUCCCAAACUGAAAAUUCCCGAACCAAUUCCGAAAAUCCCGAACCGAUCCCGAAUCAUUUGGUAUGAGAUUCGGGAAUGAUUCGGGAUUGCUCAUUCUAAGUUUGGGAAUCCCGAAAAUAUAUAUUAUAUAUAUAUAUAUAUAUAUAUAUAUAUAUAUAUAUAUUUAAUUAUAUUUAGAAUAAUUGCAAGUUUGCAACCAUUGGAUUGUUUCAAAACAAUAUGGGUCGUCCAUUCUUUGUUAGGGGUCUCCAGCCCUAUCCACUCUCUAUCUCAUAUCAUUUCGACAUACCUCUUCGCUCAAAAACUCUCUUUGAGUCUCUCAUUCUUGAAUUAGAACUUCAGCAGCCACCAACACACCCUCCCACAGUCUCACUCGAAUUCUUUCGACAAACUCUCUCUACUCCGGCCACCACCACACCUCACGACCACACAGUCUCCGACCCUCCACCUUCCCUCCACCACACACAGUCACAUAGCCAACCCUCUCUCUCACAAUUCUCUGUCGCGAUUUUCUCUAUGAGACUGUCACUGAUUCUCUCUCUGUAUGUGGGGAUUCGAGUUAAGGUUAGGAUUUCGAUUUGAGGGUUCGAAUUGGAGCUUUUGCAAUGGGGUUUCGAAUUAGGUUUCUGUGUGUGGGAUUUCAGAUUAGGAUUAGGGUUUCGAAAUGGGGCUUUGAAUUAGGGCUUUUGCAAUGGUGUAUACGAAGUGAACGGCGGGUUUAGCGUCAACGGAGCUCUGAGGAGGUAUUUACCUUACUUUUUUUUUUCAGUUUGCUUUUCUUUUUGUUGUGCACCCUUUCAUUUUUUUUUUCCUUAGCUUUUUGAAUGGGAACUGAAAGCAUGAGACGGAUGGGAACCAAAAACAGCCAAUGGCCCACUAAAUUUGGCCUAAUUCAUCUAAUUCUGCUGGGGUAAAGGAGGAAGGAGAUAGGUGGAGUCUGCUUUCUUUGCUUAUCUGCUUUUCUGGGUUUAUACCAAUUUUGAAUUUUCUGCAAUUGGUAUGCUUUCUUUGCUCAUCUGCUUUUCUGGGUUUAUACCAAUUUUGAAUUUUCUGCAAUUGGUAUGAAUUUUCUGGGUUUAUUCAAAUCCCGAACACGUCCUAAAAUCCCGAAAAAAUUUCGGGUAUCCCGAAAUUUUGGUUUGGUUUGUAAAAUACCGUCCCGAAAAAUAUUAGGUUAGGAAUCGGGCUUUGGGUUUCGGUACGGGAUUCCGUCCCGAACCAGCCCUACUUCAAGGUAACAAAAUGAGAAUUACUCUUCUAUAAAUGAUUUUUUUUUUUUGGAAAGUGGAAAAAUUUAUUAAACACCAAAGCCGAAUGUACAAACCGAACAUACGCCCAGCAUACACCAAUAAACAAACAAAAAAGGGCCUAACACAAAGGGAAACUGAAAAUGAGCCCACAAAACAACACAGCCGAGAAGCUUCCACUGAUUUCUCCACUGACAGAAGUCCAAGCCAUCCAAUCGAGAUGCCGUCCACCUCCGAGUAUCACCUCCUUCGACGCCACUUGAGCACAACCAUUAGUAAGAGAUAGUCGGCAACAAAGAGAGAAGCCAACUAGCAGUAUGAAGCUCGUGGAAACCCACAAGGAACGUUGUAGAAAACGACAAAUAACCAAGAGAACGUGGUGGUGUAGAAACACCUGAGCUGGUGAAAAUACCAGACCUCUACACACGAACUCGACAUAAGACAUGGAUGAAAACCAAAGCAAGGAAGAGCCGAGAAAAGUUAUACCCGCAUGUGUAGAAGAAUUGGAUAGGCCGAAGGGAAAAUUUGGGAGAAACAUCAGUAGGAGCAAAAGAGAAGAGGACUCGGAAGACAGCCGAAGCUAGGGCUGGUGCCACAGGGGAAUUUGGAUUUGAAGGUCUCACAAGAACAGUGAGAAAGACUCACAGCUAGGAGAGAAAAACUCCCACUUUGGGGAGAACGGACCAAACUCGUUUUUAAUUUCUUCUAUAAACGAUAUUUGGAAAACGGUUUUGCAAACGAAAAAGUCAGAAAACUCAAAAGACAAAUACAAUUUUGCGUUUUUAUAAUUGCAUAAUGCGUGAGUAAGUUUAAUUCAAUAAUAAACUUUAAUAAAAAAAAAUUGAAAACGUGUAUACUAUUAAUAUAUUCUAGAUAAAAAGUCACAUACUAUGUGUGUUUAAUCUAUAGACAAUUUAAAAAAGAAUUGGAAUUUUGUUCAAAAAAAAAAAAGAAUUGGAAUUAAAAUUAAAAAAAGGGAAAAGUAGGGAGUGGGAGAGAAAAAAUGUACCGAAACAAGAAACAAAUUGAACUACACCGAACAUUUCGGUUUUGCGAUUUUGAAACAGUUUCGGUUUGAAACUAAACCGCAAUGUAAGGAAACAGUUUACUUGCGGUUUUGACUUUUGAAAGCUGCACUGAAACAGAACUGCACCUCACAUAUUAAUAAACAUUUAAUUGAAUAUCAUAUUAGAUGUCAUGUUUUAAUUGGUUGUUUAUUAGAAUCCAUAUAUACUUUGUUUGUUUGUUUUUUUUGGAAAUUGAUUCAUAAAUUAAACCAGGUCGAGCCACCAAGGGCGGAAAGCCAAUGAGGCCAAUGAGUUAUUGAUUUACCGUUGUAUGAUUUUAUUUACGUUAUAUGUUUAUCGUGUGCUACAUUGAUGUUAGUACUUGCCUGGGUCAGGCUAGUCUUUCACGUGUAUGUUCACAUCGCUUUGUACACUCACUUUGGAUCAAUUGUAGGUGCCAAUCCUGUCUUAGAUUGCUAUAGGCAAUUAGGACUCAUAUGUGAUGCGCAUAACGCCAAUCUUCACGUGAUUGUAGUACUAGAGCGUAAACCAUUAUUACACCCAGUCUUAUUCAUGUCAGAAUAUCUCUGCAUGAACUCAUGUGUCAGCAUAUGCCGAUGAGCAUUCAAUAUGAUAUAUUUGUCUAUACGAGAAUAUGUGAUUCCCGGACGUUAGAUGUUUAUUUAUGAAAUAUAUUGUGGCGUAUUGAAUUCUUGCGAAAUUGCAGGCUACGGUAAGUAUUUUCAUACUAUACGUAGCAUGUAUAUUUGGACACUAUACUUGUUUUACAGCGAGGGGUUAUUACGUUUUGAAAAGGUUUUACAAAGUUUUGUUUUUAGGCCCCCUCACCUUUGUUUUUCGCCCCUCCAAGUUUUAGUGGCAGGACUUCUGUGUCGACAAGAAUUCUUGGCAAAUCUUGGUAUUGGUGAUUUCCUUAGAUGGUAUAAUUCUUAUCCUACCUUUAUUGUACCCUACUUAUGCUCUGACAUCACGUGUGAAAUGAGUUCAUUCUUGCUCACUAGUGCACUCUUAUAUUUAGGCACUUUUAGGUUUAAAUUCGUUCACAUUUUACACAUCACUACACUUUAUGGCUUUGUCACCUUUAUGGUGUUGGUCAUCACAGCUCGAUUCAGAGUCCAGGUAAACAUUCCAGAUCGGGGUGUGUUAGGUGCAAAGUCCCUUGAAGGCUUGAAUAUGCACCUUGACCUUGCAUUCAUGAAAUGUUUGAAAAUGAUUUGAAAUAAGGUUUUAAACUAUAUAUUUUUUCUUAAAAAUACUAAUGUUGUUGAGAGAGGGGGGAGAUAGAGAGGAAGACAGAAAUUUUUUUAUUUUCAAUUAUUAUGUCAAUGGCUUGAAAUUGUACCGAACUAAACCAAACAAUUUGGUUUCAUUUCAGUUUUGGCUUCAAAACUGCAUAGAACCAAACCUCAAAAAAUUUCGAUUUCGGUUUCACUCAAAACCGCACCGAAUCGAACCAUGCCCACCCCUAAGUAAACCUAUGGUUACUUGUGGGGAGGAAAAAAAAACUUCUUUGUGUGAAUUACUUUACUGCCUAUAUUUUUCCAAUCUAAUAUUUUCCUUCAAUUAUGUAUAAAAAGAUAAUAGUAAUUUCAUUAUUUUUUUGUUGACAGACAAGGUUCUAUUAAUAUAUAACUUAGAGACAUAUAAUGAAAAGUAAUGAUUUUGUGUUUGGUGGUCAUGUAUUUGUAAUGUGUGAGAUAGCGGCAAUGUUGGUGGACAUGGGGGUUGCAACAAGAGUUUGAAAUGCAAAUAACAAUUCUCAAAUGAAAAUAACAUUUUUUAAAUGAAAUUAAACUUUUGGACAAUUUAUUUUUUUGAGUGCAAAUAUUAAUUUUCAAACAAAAUUAUACAACGAAAUAAAGUACAUACCGGAGCUCCUGAUUAGGAAGUUAGCAACUCUUUUGGUUUUGUUUAUGCUUUCUAAUUAAGCUUUUUUUUUUUGGAGUCAACUGCAUAGCAAAAGCAAAAGGAAUGUUAAAUUAUUUCGAGAUCAUCAAUGUACGUACGAUAUACAAGUCCAUCGUAAUUUUCCUAAUAGUUCUUGGAGUAUAGAUGAACUUUUGAUUGAUUUUAAGAGAAAUAAUAAUUAAAUUAUAUAGAACGUCAUGUGGAAAAGGUACGAUAAAUGUUUAUAAAACCAGAAUUCAUUAUUUUAGACAAAUAGUUCAACGUGAAAUCUAUUUCUCUUCCUCCCUUUGAAGUUCUAUUUCUCCUUUGCCAUUACCACAUCUAAACUACAUAUAAAUAGACCCUCUUUAUCAACCAAAAGAUGCUGAAAAGAUUUUUUAGUCAUCUAUCACAAAAAAAGGUUAAGGGUAGUACGGAAUGUCACAAUGAUUUCUUAUUAUUUUUUUGUGUGUAAGCAUUACCUACAUGUGAUUUUACAUCUUUAUUUUUUUUAAAUUAAUAAAAAAACCUCCCUCCCACUUUCACGUUCACUCUCUCUCUUCCUCUCUCCUCCAAUUUUAAAGGGAAAAAUAAAAAAUUUCACACACAAUGACUGCAUGGUGGACAACUUCAACAGCAUUACCGUCCUCUAGGAGCACGUUGUUACGCAGCGGCAGAACCAGACCUUCUUCUGGCGACCGCUGCCGGAGGAACCGUCUGUGGGUUUAAUGGCGGAUGUUUCGGAUUGCUUGGACAAGCUUCUGCUGUGCUGUUGCAUCGGAUUCACACUCAUCGUGCUCGCCAGUCGAGCUUCAGAUUUUAUGGGAUGGACGAGUCACACUGCGGUUCUGGAGGAGGACAACGACGAAUCCGAUGUAGAUAUACUCAGCAUAUCCAGCGGCGAUGAUGACUCCACUGCCAAAGAUCAGCAGCGCGUGCAUUUCCGAGGAGGCAAGGCUGUUUCUGCUGCUACCGCCAGAUGUGGUUCUCGAGGAGAUGAUGAUGCCGCUUAGGACAACGGAGAACCCAGUUGCUAGAAGCACGUCGACGAGGCUGAACUUGCUACGAGUGUGACUCAGAGAGCAAUCUUGAUCAUCAGAAACACACUCAUUACGACUUGACGAAGAUAAGCUUUUCCUCAAUAAUAAGUCUAUUAUUAUUCUCCCUGUCUGCCAUCUGCCAAAAGAGAAAAGAAAAAGUGACAUCAAUAAAGGAAGAUGAUAGCUGUGAUGCUCAUCAGAGACUACGAAGGCUACCAAACUAUUAAUUCAAAUAGUGGUGCCAAAAAAAUGAAUUAUUUUCUUGGCACCAAGUCCACCAACAAUUUAAAGCUAUUAAAGAAAGCACAAAGUGUAGUGUGGGAGAAUAUUAUGGAGCCUUGGCGGUGGACUCGUGGACCAUGCAGCAGAAAAAGGGAAACAAAAGCAAAAGCAGAAAGCAAAAGAAGAUAAAAAGAAGCAGACAUAAUUGCGGUGGUGAUGGCAUGCAGAAAAGGAAAUUAUGGGCGUGACCCAUUGAGCAGAGGGUCGGAUUUAUUUUUGAAUGAUGUAAUUUAUUUUCCUUAUCUUUCGGAGACAUCUGUGUAACCCCAUCAAAGGGUAAUCACAAAAAAAAAAAAAAAAAACGGUAAGCCCAAAAUAAUGGGCUGGAAUGUUAUGUGGAGGGCGAAAGCCCAUAUGGCCAAAAGAGUCAGGCCCUUUAUUAUCACCAACCAGGUGAUCAAAACUACGUCCAGUACUCCAAAUUUAUUCGGCACCCUGCCGCUAGUAUCACCAAUCAGGUGAUAAAAAGUACGCCCAGUACUCCAAAAUUAUUCGGCACCCUACCGCUAGUAUCACAAACCAGGUGAUCAAAAGUACACCUAAUACUCCAAAAUUAUUCGGUAGCCUGCCGUUAUUAUCACCAACCAGGUGAUCAAAAGUAUGUCUAGUACUCUAAAAUUAUUCGGCAACCUGACGCUAUUAUCACCAACUAGGUGAUCAAAAGUACGUCCAGUACUCCAAAAUUAUACAUGAGCAUCACUCAUGUCAAUCAUACACAAACAUUUAUGAGCAUCACUCAUAUCAAUCAUACAUAAACAUUCAUGAGCAUCACUCAUGUUAUUCAGCUUCAAAAGCUUCAUUUACAGAGCUCUAGCUUCGAAAGCUUCAUUUCCAAAAGCUCCAUCUUCAAAAGCUUUACUUACAAAGCUUCACCUACAAAGCUUCAGUGCAGGGUAUACAAAUACCGCCUCCGAACAAUAGCCACUUCGGCCCAUACAUGAAUUGAAUUUGAAGUCUCCAGCCAACAGCCUCUAUUAACUGAAGACUUGGGGGACUACAUUAUGUACCAUAUGUUGGGCCUCAAUUGGGCCUCAUGAAAAAUACUUGGGAGCCUUAGCCUAUUAUUUCUGUACUGAUGAGAGAGCCCUUAUUCUAUAAAAGAGACUCCCUCACUUUCAUUAGAGAGCACCCAUUCUUCAUGUAUUGAGGAGCGAGCCCUUAUUCUAUAAAAGGGACUCCCUCACCAUCAUUAGAGAGUAUCGCCGCCUGCUGAGCAACCGCCUCGCUGCGAACAUCAACUCUUAGCCCAUCACUUAUGUAUUGAGAAGCGAGCCCUUAUUUUAUAAAGGGGACUCCCUCACCAUCAUUAGAGAGCAUCACCGCCAGCUGAGCAACCGACUCGUCGCGAGCAUCAACUCUAGCCCAUCAUUCAUGUAUUGAGGAGCGAGCCCUUAUUAUAUAAAAGGGACUCCCUCACCAUCAUUAGAGAGCAUCAACUCUAGCCCAUCAUUCAUGUUUUGAGGAGUAAGCCCUUAUUCUAUAAAAGGGACUCCCUCACCUUCAACGCCACAAGCCAUGCCAACCAAGGCAACAUAAGCCACAAACCGAACAGCCUCGCAACAUGUGCUACUUCUAGUUGAGCAUUAUUUCAGAUUGAGCACCGCCUCAUAUCGAGUAUCAAUUCAAGACGACAUCUAGUUAUUUCAGCCCACACAUAGACUGAAUUUCAAGUCUCCAACCAAAAGACUCUCUUGACUGAAAACUUGAGGGACUACUGUUUGUACCAUACUUAGGGCCUCCGUAUUUAGACCUCGUAUACGGGGGACUCAAAUGUAAUUAUGUAAUAAAUGGAGGGGCAAAUAUAUAAUAAGUGAGGAGCCCUUAUUCUAUAAGAGGGCCUCCUCACCCUCACAAAGGGGAAGGGCUCUCUCACCCUCAGAAGCUCUCACCCUCUCAUCCUCUCACAAACAGAGAAAUACAAUAUCAAUGUGGACGUAGCCCAAACAUUGGGGUGAACCACGAUACAUCUUGUGUUAUUUACUUUCUUACAGAUUCACAGUCGGAUUUACGUUGUUCCAAAAGUUUUGUGCAUCAACAACACUUUUAUCCUUAAUAGGAAGAACUUGCAGAGAGGAACAAUCAGAGAAGCAAAAACGAUGGUGAUUCUGAUUCAUUCAUUCAGCUCAAACACUACAUGUGAGGGAAUAUUAUCGUUGCAACAUAGUGGGAAAGAGCAGUCUCUCUCAUACAUCAGCACAAAAUCUAACCAUCCAAGUAAUCUAUCCUAUGAGAUGAUUACAAUUGGCAAGAGCUAUUACUCAUUGCUAGUGAAUCUGAGAUGAAAACCAACUAACAACCAUUAAUCUAAUUUUGCAAAUACACUUAUACAUCAACACUCCGUUCCCGGACUCGUGAUCUGUUCUCAAGGGCCUUCGGGAAGAAGGGGUACAUCCCGCUCUCGACCUACCUCAAGACCUACAAGAUCGGUGACCAUGUCGACAUCAAGGUUAACGGCGCCGUCCACAAGGGUACGCCCCACAAGUUCUACCACGGCCGUACCGGUCGCGUCUGGAACGUCACCAAGCGUGACGUCGGUGUCGAGAUCAACAAGCAGGUCGGAAACAGAAUCAUCAGGAAGAUGAUUCAUGUGCGUGCGUGUGGAUCUUGUGCAUCCAUCAUAGUGCACCGAAGAAUUCCGUAUAAGGAAGAUUAAGAAUGAUCAGCUGAAGGCCGAGGCUAAGGCAAAGGGUGAGUUUAUUAGCACCAAAGAAUUCACGUGCUGCAGAAGACACUGCUUCGAUUUAUGUCUUAUGCAAGGAUUUAAAUAUCGAUAAUAUCGGCGAAAUAUCGCCGAUAUUAUCGUUUUUUUGAAGAUCCGAAAUUUUUUUAACUAUCCAAAUAAUUUUCGUCAAAAUAUCGCGAUAUUAUCGAUAAUAUCGCGAUAUUUUCGAUAUUUUCGAUAAAUAUCGAUAAUAUCGCAAAAUAAUACUUAAAAAUACUUAAAUAUGUUGAGAAAACUCAACAUAUACUUCACUUGAUCAUAGCCCAAAGGCCAAUCAAGUUAGGAUUUUCUCAGCUGGGGGAAUGUGGAUUUUAUAGGCAAAAUUGCUUGCUCACUGCCCUCACAUGGGCGAUGUGGACUCCCCCAAUGGGAGAGAAAAUCAGAAUUUUGGCCGAAAUUUUACACCCACUUUAAACGACCAUAACUUUGUCAAAACUCAACGAAAUCAAGCAAGACAAAAACGAAAGUUGUAGCCCUCGAUGAGACGAAGAGAAUGGUACCUUACACGACGUCUAAAUCGUCGUGGUGUGGCCGAAAAAUGCCUCGAAAGUCACUGAGAUCGGCGGAAACUGGGUAAGAUUCAAAUGAGUAUAACUUUUUUAAUACUCAACGAAAUUGAGUGAAACAAAAAGGAAAGUUGUACUAAUCGACGAGACGAAGAGAUUGAUACCUUGUACGCCGGCCAAAUCGCCGUGGUUUGGCCGGAAAUUUCCUCGAAAGCCACUGAGGUCGCUGGAAAUUGGGUAAGAUUCAAAUGAGUAUAACUUUUUCAAUACGCAACGACAUUGAGUGAAACAAAAAGGAAAGUUGUAGCCCUCGAAGAGACGAAGAGAAUGGUACCUUACACGACGUCUGACUCGUUUUGUUUUGGUCGGAAAUUGCCUCGAAAGCCACUGAGGUCGCCGGAAUCUGGGUAAGAUUCAAAUGAGUAUAACUUUUUCAAUACUCAACGAAAUUGAGUGAAACAAAAAGGAAAGUUGUACUACUCGACGAGACGAAGAGAUUGAUAUCUUGCACGCCGGCCAAAAUUCAAUUGACACACUCCUGGCUUCCAAAAUUCAAUUCUUUUACUUUAUAUAAACUUGAAAAAACAUAAUCGGCAUCCAAAUUAAAGUUUAGUCUUAUUCUUAUGUGUAAGAAAUUUAAAGUAUCAAAUUCGGCACAUUAUUCUUCAUCAUUUUAUUCACUUCCCUUUUUUUUUUAAUAUCCUAAAUAAAACCUCCAAAUAUUGUACUAAUUAAUUAUAUAUAAAUGAUUAUGGUGUGUUUAAACUUCUUUCAUUAAUUACUACAUAUUUUCUAUACUCACAAUGUUUGCCAGCUCGCUAUAUAAUCAACUUAAAUCAGUUAAAUCCAUCAUGCAAUGCAUUUCCUUCCAAUUUUUUGUGAUAAACUAAUAGAUAAUUGACUAAAUAAACAUCCUACAAAGUUUCAUUAAAAAUUUCCAAGUUUUUCUUACAAUUUCCGUGGUUUCCAUGUAAUUUUUAUCGAUAUCGAUAUUUUACCGAUAUUUCCAUCGAUAUUUCCGUGUUUUCGGACUACCGAUAUUUCCGAUAUUACCGAUAUUUUCUUCCUUGGUCUUAUGAUAUACGUUAAACUUUCAAGUACAAUUUUGUGCCGAAUGUGAAAAAAAUAAUUCUAAAAAGAAAAUGUUCAGAAAACUUUUAUUUGUUUGUUCUCUUAUGCACAUCUAGGUUUUGUCAAUUAUGGGUUUUAGAUUUUUGUGAAUUUUGGGGUAUUAGGUUUCCUAAUGGCAUUGAAAAAAAUCAGAGAACUAAAGGGCGAGAGAGGAUAAUUUUAAAGUUUGAAAAAAAAAAAAAGUAAAAUAAUUUCGAAGAUAUGACUGUUCUACAUACUAGCUCUUCAUGCUUGAUCACGUAUUGUUGAAUAUCACAACUAUUUCAACAUAUCAUAUUAUUUUUUUAACUGUGUAAACAAUGGACUUGUGGUGUCUUUAGAAAAUAAAAUUUAAUUUAAAAAUAAUUCAAGGUCUAAAGUCAUUUCAUUAGGACAAAAAGUCUAUUAAUAUUAAAAAUUUAAGUGUGGUGUGGUCAACAAAUUGUCAAUGUCAACAAAAUAACCCUUCUUGUAUUAUAACAUCAAUAGGGUGAAUGUUCUGCAGGAAGAAAACCUCACAAUAGACUAUGGAGGUGCUAAACUUGAUUUUGUGACACUAACUACAAUAUUUAGCCUCCUAAGCCCUCCUAAACCAUUAUUUUCCCCAACUUUAUGUUGUGCGGAAGCGGCAUUCGACUGUAAGUGAAUAGUAAAACAGAACAGAAACAAAACCAACAUCAACAAGAACACCAAGAUUUAUACUGGUUCGGCAAUGCCUACAUCCAGUUUGGAGACGACGGAGUAUUCCACUAUAAUCAAUGAGAACAUACAAUAGUGUUUAUCACUUAAUUUCCCAAAGACCCAAAUAACCCAAGCUCUCACACUUACAAUAGGAAGAGAAAACCAAAAAUACAAAGCAAGACAAUUUGAGAAAAUUCUUCUCUAUGCCGAAUGGCUUCUUGCUAUUUUUCUCUCUUCCUUGUUCUCCUCUUGUCUCUCCUCCAUGCUUAUGAGCUGCACCUUGCUCUCCUUUUAUAGCCAAAGAAAAGCUUCUCAAAGACAUCAAUGGCCAAAGGCCUACCAUCAAGUCAAAAGAGUUAGGCACAAAUUAGGCACAAAUGUUGUUUGCCUCCCAUUUCCACAAAGUAGCCCAAAGAUUUGGACUUUGACUACAUGUUUGAGUCAAUAAUCAACAAUCUCCACCUUGGCUCAAACCCUCUAAGUAGAACUCCUAAUAGUCGUCUCCCAAUCCCUCAUGGGGCAAUCAACAAAUUUUACAAAUGCCAAUCAAGUCUAAGCAGUGCUUAAACUUGAGCAACGAAAUUGGCUUUGUUAACAUAUCCGCAGGAUUGUCAGCGGUCCCAAUCUUCUAAAGAAGAAUAUCUCCCUCGUCAAUAAUCUCACGAACAAAAUGGAACCUCACGUCAAUGUGUUUCGUACGUGCAUGAUGAACUUGAUUCUUUGCUAAAUGAAUAGCACUCUGACUGUCGCAAUGAACAUCCACAUGGUCUUGUUGAACCCCUAAGUCAUCAAGCAACCCUUGAAGCCAGAUGGCUUCCUUUAUAGCUUCUGUUACAGCCAUGUAUUCUGCCUCAGUAGUCGACAAAGCAACUGUAGAUUGCAGAAUCGACCUCCAACUUACUGGACCUCCAGCAAUAGUGAAUACAAAACCAGUAGUGGACCUACGCUUGUCCAAAUCACCUGCGUAAUCAGAAUCCACAUAUCCAACAACACAUUGACCAGUAACUUUAUCCUGCUGGAACAAUAAACCAACAUCCACAGUACCCAGAAUAUACCGUAGAAUCCAUUUCACAGCUUGCCAAUGCCCUUUUCCUGGAUUAUGCAUAUAUCUACUGACAAUACUAACAGCUUGUGAAAUAUCAGGCCUAGUACACACCAUAGCAUACAUCAAAACUACCAACAACAUUUGCAUAAGGAAUUUGAGCCAUGUACUGACUCUCUUCAACAGUUUUAGGAGACAUAGAAGCGCUAAGUUUGAAAUGAAAGGCAAGAGGUGUACUAACCGGUUUUGAAUUUUCAUUCAUCCUGAAACGUUGUAGUACCUUCUUCAAAUACUGCUUCUGACACAGACUAAUCUUGCCCUUCGCUCUAUCUCUUUCAAUUUCCAUACCUAGUAUCUUCCGAGCUUCUCCCAAGUCCUUCAUCUCAAAUUCAUUACUUAGUUGAGUCUUCAACCUUUCAAUCUCCACUUUGCUCUUACAUGCUAUAAGCAUAUCAUCAACAUAUAAAAGCAGAUAAAUGAAGGUUCCAUCUUGUAGUUUGCGAAAGUAUACACAAUGGUCAUAGUGACUUCUUGUGUACUUUUGCCCGAUCAUAAAUCGAUCAAAUCGCUUGUACCAUUGUCUUGGAGACUGCUUCAAGCCAUACAAUGAUUUUUCCAAUUUGCAAACCCAAUUUUCCUUUCCAGCAACCUUAAAACCUUCUGGUUGAGACAUAUAAAUCUCUUCCUCCAAAUCACCAUGUAAGAACGCAGUCUUGACAUCAAGUUGGGCCAACUCAAGGUCAAACUGCACAACCAAAGCCAACAAAAUACGAAUAGAAGAAUGUUUUACUACAGGAGAAAAUACCUCAUUGUAGUCAAUGCCUUCCUUCUGAGCGUAGCCUUUAGCUACCAAUCUGGCUUUGAAUCUUACAUUGUCUUUUCCCAAAGAUUCCAUCUUUUUGGCAUACACCCAUUUACAACCAAUUGCUUUCUUCCCCUUUGGUAACUGAACCAGAUUCCAAGUCUCAUUUUUUAUGAAGAGAUUUCAUCUCCUCAUCCAUAGAUUUCUUCCACAACUCGCACUCUGAACUCAUGACAGCUUCUUUGUAGGCGGAUGGAAUAUCAUCUUCAAUAACAGGAAGUGUAUAUGCCACAAUAUCAGUAAAUCGAGCAGGCUUUCGAAUUUCCCUUCUCGAUCUUCUGGUUGCAAUAUAGUCUUGUUGCUGUGGAGGCUCUUGGGUAAGUGCCUCCUCUUCAUCAUCCUCGUCCUCAUCAUCAGAAUUAACUGUAGGACUAGUGUUUGAAACAUCAGACCUUACUGGAACAACUGGAGUCUUCAGUAACUCCACCUGCUUUGAGCUACUCAUGGUCUCGGUCGCUUUAGUUUCACCUUCAUGCUUGUUCUGAUUAACCAUAGUAGCCUCAUCAAAAGUCACAUCUCUGCUUACAACAAAUUUCUUCUCAUCUGGACACCAGAGUCGGUAUCCCUUCACGCCAGUGCUAAAGCCCAUAAAUAGAGCUUGGAUCCAACUUGCUUUCUCUGACAUAAUAGUAAGCAGAACAGCCAAAUAUGUGUAAAAACUUGUAAUCAGUACAAGGUUUACCAGACCAUACCUCCAUGGGCGUUUUGCCCUCGUUCGCAACAGCUGGCAAUCGAUUAAUGAGAUGGCUUGCAUAAGUAAUUGCUCAGCAGCCCAAAAUGCCUUGCCUAAACCAGCAUUAGACAACACAUACACCGGACUUUCUCAAGCAAAGUACGGUUCAUGCGCUCCGCCACUCCAUUCUGUUGCGGUGUCUCCCUAACCGUGAAGUGCCUCACAAUACCCUCAUCUUGACAAACUUUCAAGAAAGGAUCAGACUUAUAUUCACCCCCAUUGUCUGAUCUGAGAGUCUUGAUCUUUCGACCGCUUUGCGUUUCAAUCAUCUUUUUCCACUUCAGGAAUAUAUCUUCAAGACUUCAUCUUUACGCUUCAUGGUGUACACCCAUAUUCUUCUAGAGAAGUCAUCAACAAAGGAGACAAAAUAAUGGCUACCUCCCCAAGAUGCAUUCUUGGAAGGUCCCCAAACAUCAGUGUGAACAUAAUCAAGAAUGCCUUUAGUGUGGUGAAUAGCAGUGCCAAAUUUUACUCUAUUUUGCUUACCCAACACACAAUGCUCACAGAAUUCCAAUUUGCAUGCCUUUGCACCUUUCAAUAAGCCUUGCUUCACUAAUCCUUGCAACGCUUUUUCACCAGCAUGCCCAAGACGCAUAUGCCAUAACCUCGUGGUGUUUGUGCUAUCUGCGUCAGCAGCUUCGGUGACAGCUGCUCCACCAAUAACUGUACUCCCCUGUAAGAAAUACAAGUUAUUUCGUCUUGUACCUUUCAUCACCACCAGUGCCCCGUACACAGCUUUAAGAACUCCACCCUUCAUGGUGAUCUUGAGACCCUUGGAUUCCAAUGCAUCCAGUGAGAUGAGAUUUUUCUUCAUAUCCGGUACAUACCGAACAUCACUUAAUUCUCUGACUGUUCCAUCAUGCAUCUUUAAACAGAUUUUGCCUAUCCCUUGUGUUUUGCAGGCAUUAUUAUUACCCAUCAAAACAACUCCACCAUCCAGCUCCUCGAAAUUAGAAAACCAUUCCCGAAUGGGACACAUAUGAUAGGUGCAACCUGAAUCCAAAAUCCACUCAUUAGAGUGACCAUCAGCAUAUGAACUAGCCAAAGCAAACUCGAAAUCAUCAUCAUCUCCAGAUUUUGCAAUAUUUGCUUCAGAACCCGCUUUCUCCUUCUCUUUGUUCUUCAAUUUGGGGCAAUCUUUCUUCCAAUGACCCUUUUGGCGACAAAAAGCACAUUCAUCUUUAGCAGGAAACUUCCCUCGUGACUUUGAACGAGAUUUUCCCCACUUCCCAGAUUUUCUUUCCUCUGUUCGACCCCUUGCAACAAAUGCCUCGGUUUGUGAAUUAUGAGUCUUCAGUUCCUUCUUACGACACUCAUGAUUCACCAAUGCCGCAGACACCUCAUCAAGUUUCACCUCGAAUUUUCCAUACAAUAGAGUAGUUGUCAAAUGAUCAUAAUCAUCAGGCAAUGAAUUUAACAAACAUAGUGCCUUGUCCUCGUCAGGAAUUUUCACAUCAAGGUUUGCUAAAUCAGCAAGUAUUUUAUUAUAAUCAUUGAGGUGUUCGUGCAUAGAGAUACCUGGACGAUACUGAAAUCGGAAGAGUCGCUUCUUCAAGAAGAGACGAUUUUCUGGCCUCUUGGUCAUAUACUUCUCCUCCAAUUUUCAUCCAUAACUCUUUAGCAGAAGUUUCCUUCAUAUACGGGUAUUUCAACUCCUUAUCAAGGAACGAUCGAAUAGCAGCACAAGCAUGAAGAUUAAUUCGUAUCCACUGCUUGUCAUCAAUAUCUUCUGGUUUAUCUUCCAGAACCAUAUCCAACUCUUAUUGAUACAACACAUCCAUAACUUCACAUUGCCACAUACCAAAAUUAUUAGAGCUAUUGAAUUUAUCAACCUCUAACCUUGUAGUAGUAGAUGGAUGUCUAUUGGAUGUAGACGAAGACGAUGCUGACCCCAUCUUUACAGAUUCAUCUUUAUCUCCAGCCAUCUACUCGGCACUAUUCACAAAUACGGCACUGUUCACAGAUACUGUAGCAGUUCACUGUUCACGGAACUGUAGCGCCAACACUAUUCACGGAACUGGGCUCUGGUACCACUUGUUGUGCGGAAGCGGCAUUCGACUGUAAGUGAAUAGUAAAAACAGAACAGAAACAAAACCAACAUCAACAAGAACACCAAGAUUUAUACUGGUUCGGCAAUGCCUACAUCCAGUUUGGAGACGACGGAAUAUUCCACUAUAAUCAAUGAGAACAUACAAUAGUGUUUAUCACUCAAUUUCCCAAAGACCCAAAUAACCCAAGCUCUCACACUUACAAUAGGAAGAGAAAACCAAAAAUACAAAGCAAGACAAUUUGAGAAAAUUCUUCUCUAUGCCGAAUGGCUUCUUGCUAUUUUUCUCUCUUCCUUGUUCUCCUCUUGUCUCUCCUCCAUGCUUAUGAGCUGCACCUUGCUCUCCUUUUAUAGCCAAAGAAAAGCUUCUCAAAGACAUCAAUGGCCAAAGGCCUACCAUCAAGUCAAAAGAGUUAGGCACAAAUUAGGCACAAAUGUUGUUUGCCUCCCAUUUCCACAAAGUAGCCCAAAGAUUUGGACUUUGACUACAUGUUUGAGUCAAUAAUCAACAAUCUCCACCUUGGCUCAAACCCUCUAAGUAGAACUCCUAAUAGUCGUCUCCCAAUCCCUCAUGGGGCAAUCAACAAAUUUUACAAAUGCCAAUCAAGUCUAAGCAGUGCUUAAACUUGAGCAACGAAAUUGGCUUUGUUAACAUAUCCGCAGGAUUGUCAGCGGUCCCAAUCUUCUAAAGAAGAAUAUCUCCCUCGUCAAUAAUCUCACGAACAAAAUGGAACCUCACGUCAAUGUGUUUCGUACGUGCAUGAUGAACUUGAUUCUUUGCUAAAUGAAUAGCACUCUGACUGUCGCAAUGAACAUCCACAUGGUCUUGUUGAACCCCUAAGUCAUCAAGCAACCCUUGAAGCCAGAUGGCUUCCUUUAUAGCUUCUGUUACAGCCAUGUAUUCUGCCUCAGUAGUCGACAAAGCAACUGUAGAUUGCAGAAUCGACCUCCAACUUACUGGACCUCCAGCAAUAGUGAAUACAAAACCAGUAGUGGACCUACGCUUGUCCAAAUCACCUGCGUAAUCAGAAUCCACAUAUCCAACAACACAUUGACCAGUAACUUUAUCCUGCUGGAACAAUAAACCAACAUCCACAGUACCCAGAAUAUACCGUAGAAUCCAUUUCACAGCUUGCCAAUGCCCUUUUCCUGGAUUAUGCAUAUAUCUACUGACAAUACUAACAGCUUGUGAAAUAUCAGGCCUAGUACACACCAUAGCAUACAUCAAACUACCAACAACAUUUGCAUAAGGAAUUUGAGCCAUGUACUGACUCUCUUCAACAGUUUUAGGAGACAUAGAAGCGCUAAGUUUGAAAUGAAAGGCAAGAGGUGUACUAACCGGUUUUGAAUUUUCAUUCAUCCUGAAACGUUGUAGUACCUUCUUCAAAUACUGCUUCUGACACAGACUAAUCUUGCCCUUCGCUCUAUCUCUUUCAAUUUCCAUACCUAGUAUCUUCCGAGCUUCUCCCAAGUCCUUCAUCUCAAAUUCAUUACUUAGUUGAGUCUUCAACCUUUCAAUCUCCACUUUGCUCUUACAUGCUAUAAGCAUAUCAUCAACAUAUAAAAGCAGAUAAAUGAAGGUUCCAUCUUGUAGUUUGCGAAAGUAUACACAAUGGUCAUAGUGACUUCUUGUGUACUUUUGCCCGAUCAUAAAUCGAUCAAAUCGCUUGUACCAUUGUCUUGGAGACUGCUUCAAGCCAUACAAUGAUUUUUCCAAUUUGCAAACCCAAUUUUUCCUUUCCAGCAACCUUAAAACCUUCUGGUUGAGACAUAUAAAUCUCUUCCUCCAAAUCACCAUGUAAGAACGCAGUCUUGACAUCAAGUUGGGCCAACUCAAGGUCAAACUGCACAACCAAAGCCAACAAAAUACGAAUAGAAGAAUGUUUUACUACAGGAGAAAAUACCUCAUUGUAGUCAAUGCCUUCCUUCUGAGCGUAGCCUUUAGCUACCAAUCUGGCUUUGAAUCUUACAUUGUCUUUUCCCAAAGAUUCCAUCUUUUUGGCAUACACCCAUUUACAACCAAUUGCUUUCUUCCCCUUUGGUAACUGAACCAGAUUCCAAGUCUCAUUUUUAUGAAGAGAUUUCAUCUCCUCAUCCAUAGAUUUCUUCCACAACUCGCACUCUGAACUCAUGACAGCUUCUUUGUAGGCGGAUGGAAUAUCAUCUUCAAUAACAGGAAGUGUAUAUGCCACAAUAUCAGUAAAUCGAGCAGGCUUUCGAAUUUCCCUUCUCGAUCUUCUGGUUGCAAUAUAGUCUUGUUGCUGUGGAGGCUCUUGGGUAAGUGCCUCCUCUUCAUCAUCCUCGUCCUCAUCAUCAGAAUUAACUGUAGGACUAGUGUUUGAAACAUCAGACCUUACUGGAACAACUGGAGUCUUCAGUAACUCCACCUGCUUUGAGCUACUCAUGGUCUCGGUCGCUUUAGUUUCACCUUCAUGCUUGUUCUGAUUAACCAUAGUAGCCUCAUCAAAAGUCACAUCUCUGCUUACAACAAAUUUCUUCUCAUCUGGACACCAGAGUCGGUAUCCCUUCACGCCAGUGCUAAAGCCCAUAAAUAGAGCUUGGAUCCAACUUGCUUUCUCUGACAUAAUAGUAAGCAGAACAGCCAAAUAUGUGUAAAAACUUGUAAUCAGUACAAGGUUUACCAGACCAUACCUCCAUGGGCGUUUUGCCCUCGUUCGCAACAGCUGGCAAUCGAUUAAUGAGAUGGCUUGCAUAAGUAAUUGCCUCAGCCCAAAAUGCCUUGCCUAAACCAGCAUUAGACAACAUACACCGGACUUUCUCAAGCAAAGUACGGUUCAUGCGCUCCGCCACUCCAUUCUGUUGCGGUGUCUCCCUAACCGUGAAGUGCCUCACAAUACCCUCAUCUUGACAAACUUUCAAGAAAGGAUCAGACUUAUAUUCACCCCCAUUGUCUGAUCUGAGAGUCUUGAUCUUUCGACCGCUUUGCGUUUCAAUCAUCUUUUUCCACUUCAGGAAUAUCUUCAAGACUUCAUCUUUACGCUUCAUGGUGUACACCCAUAUUCUUCUAGAGAAGUCAUCAACAAAGGAGACAAAAUAAUGGCUACCUCCCCAAGAUGCAUUCUUGGAAGGUCCCCAAACAUCAGUGUGAACAUAAUCAAGAAUGCCUUUAGUGUGGUGAAUAGCAGUGCCAAAUUUUACUCUAUUUUGCUUACCCAACACACAAUGCUCACAGAAUUCCAAUUUGCAUGCCUUUGCACCUUUCAAUAAGCCUUGCUUCACUAAUCCUUGCAACGCUUUUUCACCAGCAUGCCCAAGACGCAUAUGCCAUAACCUCGUGGUGUUUGUGCUAUCUGCGUCAGCAGCUUCGGUGACAGCUGCUCCACCAAUAACUGUACUCCCCUGUAAGAAAUACAAGUUAUUUCGUCUUGUACCUUUUCAUCACCACCAGUGCCCCGUACACAGCUUUAAGAACUCCACCCUUCAUGGUGAUCUUGAGACCCUUGGAUUCCAAUGCAUCCAGUGAGAUGAGAUUUUUCUUCAUAUCCGGUACAUACCGAACAUCACUUAAUUCUCUGACUGUUCCAUCAUGCAUCUUUAAACAGAUUUUGCCUAUCCCUUGUGUUUUGCAGGCAUUAUUAUUACCCAUCAAAACAACUCCACCAUCCAGCUCCUCGAAAUUAGAAAACCAUUCCCGAAUGGGACACAUAUGAUAGGUGCAACCUGAAUCCAAAAUCCACUCAUUAGAGUGACCAUCAGCAUAUGAACUAGCCAAAGCAAACUCGAAAUCAUCAUCAUCUCCAGAUUUUGCAAUAUUUGCUUCAGAACCCGCUUUCUCCUUCUCUUUUCUUUGUUCUUCAAUUUGGGGCAAUCUUUCUUCCAAUGACCCUUUUGGCGACAAAAAGCACAUUCAUCUUUAGCAGGAAACUUCCCUCGUGACUUUGAACGAGAUUUUCCCCACUUCCCAGAUUUUCUUUCCUCUGUUCGACCCCUUGCAACAAAUGCCUCGGUUUGUGAAUUAUGAGUCUUCAGUUCCUUCUUACGACACUCAUGAUUCACCAAUGCCGCAGACACCUCAUCAAGUUUCACCUCGAAUUUUCCAUACAAUAGAGUAGUUGUCAAAUGAUCAUAAUCAUCAGGCAAUGAAUUUAACAAACAUAGUGCCUUGUCCUCGUCAGGAAUUUUCACAUCAAGGUUUGCUAAAUCAGCAAGUAUUUUAUUAUAAUCAUUGAGGUGUUCGUGCAUAGAGAUACCUGGACGAUACUGAAAUCGGAAGAGUCGCUUCUUCAAGAAGAGACGAUUUUCUGGCCUCUUGGUCAUAUACUUCUCCUCCAAUUUCAUCCAUAACUCUUUAGCAGAAGUUUCCUUCAUAUACGGGUAUUUCAACUCCUUAUCAAGGAACGAUCGAAUAGCAGCACAAGCAUGAAGAUUAAUUCGUAUCCACUGCUUGUCAUCAAUAUCUUCUGGUUUAUCUUCCAGAACCAUAUCCAACUCUUAUUGAUACAACACAUCCAUAACUUCACAUUGCCACAUACCAAAAUUAUUAGAGCUAUUGAAUUUAUCAACCUCUAACCUUGUAGUAGUAGAUGGAUGUCUAUUGGAUGUAGACGAAGACGAUGCUGACCCCAUCUUUACAGAUUCAUCUUUAUCUCCAGCCAUCUACUCGGCACUAUUCACAAAUACGGCACUGUUCACAGAUACUGUAGCAGUUCACUGUUCACGGAACUGUAGCGCCAACACUAUUCACGGAACUGGGCUCUGGUACCACUUGUUGUGCGGAAGCGGCAUUCGACUGUAAGUGAAUAGUAAAACAGAACAGAAACAAAACCAACAUCAACAAGAACACCAAGAUUUAUACUGGUUCGGCAAUGCCUACAUCCAGUUUGGAGACGACGGAAUAUUCCACUAUAAUCAAUGAGAACAUACAAUAGUGUUUAUCACUCAAUUUCCCAAAGACCCAAAUAACCCAAGCUCUCACACUUACAAUAGGAAGAGAAAACCAAAAAUACAAAGCAAGACAAUUUGAGAAAAUUCUUCUCUAUGCCGAAUGGCUUCUUGCUAUUUUUCUCUCUUCCUUGUUCUCCUCUUGUCUCUCCUCCAUGCUUAUGAGCUGCACCUUGCUCUCCUUUUAUAGCCAAAGAAAAGCUUCUCAAAGACAUCAAUGGCCAAAGGCCUACCAUCAAGUCAAAAGAGUUAGGCACAAAUUAGGCACAAAUUAGGCACAAAUGUUGUUUGCCUCCCAUUACCACAAAGUAGCCCAAAGAUUUGGACUUUGACUACAUGUUUGAGUCAAUAAUCAACACUUUAGUACUAAAAUUUAGCACCUCAGUUUUAACUUUUACUACAUGUUCAAAAAUUGUUUACCAAAAACAAAAAAUAUGUCCAAAAAUUGUUUACCAAAAACAAAACAGAUGUCCAACAAUUGUUUCAGCUUCAAUCUUUUGUCACUCCUCUAGUUCCAUUUGCUUCAAAACGAAUCUCAACUUUCUUCUUAUAUAUUCUUCCUUGUUCUCAUCCCCAUAUUGAACUAAUUGUUCAACGUAGGAAACACAUUGAGCAACAUUCGGACCUUGUAUCUUCCCCUUCAUUCUAGUUGCCUCAUCUGACAAGCCUUUGAGAUGAUGAAGGGGUGAAAUCUUCAACGUCGUCUAGAUUAACAAGUUGCACACUAAGGGUAACCAUAUAGAGGUACAACUUUGUCAUGCCUCCUGAUGAGUCAAUAUUAUAUUAUAUAUUUUACCCUAUUCUUAAUAUAAUUUGGUAAUUAUUUUGGUGGAAUUUUGAUACUUUGCUUUAUAUUUUCAAUAUAGGACAUUCGACUUCCUUUGAAGAAAAACGUGACCAAACAGACGAAUUUUGGAGUGAUUCAAAUUGGAGGACGUUCGUGUGUCUCUUGGCUUGUUCGUUUCAAAAUUUGGGAUUUUUCUACUAAGCGAUUAUUCUCUGGCAAUUAAAUGAAGGAGCAGUGCGUAAUGUUGGAAAGUGACGUUUCUGGGCUUAAACUGCGUUUUUGGAGCCGAAUAUGACCUAAGAUGGGUUCGUGGCCUUUUUGAGAAGUGUUCAGAAUAGUUCAAGCUUUAAAUCCAGUUAUUUUGGGCCAGUUUUGGAGCUGAUUUGGGUCCAAAACGUGGCUGUGCAGAUUUUUGGAUGAAUUUACCAAGUUAAUUUAGGAUUAUGUUUCCUAUUUUAUUUCAAUUUAUUUAGUUUCCUAGUCUUAUUCUAAGACCUUUUACUAAGAGGAUUUUAUUUAGAGUAGUAUAAAUAAGCCUUUUGGCAGACUUAGGGUUUUGGUAGUACGUACGCAAGAUUUGAGAAGAAGAUUUUGGCUAGAGCUUAGAGAUUUUUAGACUUUAUUCUACAAGGUGUUUUCAUUCUUUUCUAUUUCAAUACAAUUCUUCUGAUUUUAAUUAUGAAUAUGCGUAACUAAUUAUCUUUGCUAGGGUGAGGCCAUGAUCUUUAGCAAGAAUAUGUAGUCUCUCUUAAUUUUCUUAUGAAUUUAUGCAUGCAAGUUUUGGAUUGUUAAUCAUUGUGUUUUAAACUAUCUAUUUGUCUUAGUGAUUCAUGACCAUUAGGAUAUCUAGAAAAGUAAUUUGAUGCAAUUUUGGCUGAGGGUUGUCCCUAAAAUUGACUAAGGCUUCUUGUGGUUAACAUGUGUAGCUACUUAGGAUGGACGACACGUCUUAGGAGUUAUAUGGUUUUUUAAAAGGUUUUCAUAAAACUUAAUGAGUCUUGCAUGUUAACAUUCGAUCUGGACGCCAUGGACGAGUUGCAUGUUAGAUAUACGUUCUAUGUUGGGAGUUCCAAGUAGGGCAUACUUUAGGAAAACCUAACCUUCAUAAUAUGCAUGUGUAAUUCAUAAGGAAUUAGAAGAACUACCUAUGAUUGUUAGGGUGACGGCGGAACCCUAGUAUUUUCUGAUUUUGAAUUCUAAAAAUUGUUUCCUUUUUCUUUCUCUAAAAAAUUGCAAAUUUUAAUUAGCCUUUUUAAUUAAUUUCGUUUUUCUAAAUUUAGGUCAUUAAAUCACCCUUUUCCCAUCUUCGUUUUAAAUAAUUAACUAAAUUUUUGUUUUCAUAAAUUGUUUUAAAUAAUCCCUGCAGAAAACGACAUUACUUGAGCCAUUUAUAUUGCAACAACCUUGUUCUCUUGCAAAUAUUUUGUAUCUUUUUUUGCAUAUGGUAAAAUCCCUACCACACCCUCCCCCCCCCCCCCCCCCCCCAAAAAAAAACCAGUGCUUCAUCCAAAAAAAAAAAAAGCUACGUCCACUGAGAAGCUACUAGGCCUCUUCUUGGUCCUCUAUUUCAUUAGGUGACGGAUCGAAACUUUGCUAUCUCGAGCGUUCCGCUAACCUGUGUACUGAUAUUUAUCAUUAGCCCAUUACCUCUUUUGGGCCCUUGCCCCUCCCCUGCUAAUGGGCGAGGUUCUUUAUUAUUUUAAUGGGGCAGGAAAGGAUAUGUGUUAGCACACAUAGAAAAUGCUCAAGCCACCACCGUCGGUAUGAUAAGAUUUUGUUAGAUUUUGUUAGAUUAGUUACCGACAGAAUUUGAAAUCACGUCGUCAUACAAGAAUUCAACAUCUUUUCACCAUGAAUUCAACAUCUUUCCGACACUGUGGUAAAUGACCACCUGUCAAAUUUUUUUUACACGUGUGAAAUUCCUUUUUCGUAUUAUUUACUCAAGUUCCACUGAAAUUCCUUUCACACUUAACUUGCAUACCAAUCUUUUUCUUCAACCUCUUAAAAUUACUCCUUCCCUCCAUUGCAAAAAGAUGGCCAUGGUCGAGAUUUGGCAAGGAGAAUUUGCGGCUGUUGUUACUGGUUAUUAUUCGAAUAUUUUUAGAAGGUAAUGUAGAUCGUACGAUCAGACGAAUUGAUUAAGGUAUGGAUGACCAGUAUUUGAUAUGAGGAUGCAAGAAAUUGGCUUUCAAAGUUGAAACAUGAGUGCUGUAUUUUUAUUUUUUAUUUUUCAAUAUGAGGAUGCAAGAAAUUGGCUUUUAAAGUUGAAACAUGAGAUUUUGAGGGAUUUUAAUGAAUUUAUAAAUUCAUAGAUUUUGAUGAUGUUUAUGUGAACACGGAAAAUUCCUGAAACGAAAGAGACAAGAACAACAUGCACAAACAAAUAUUUGUAUUUGAUGAUUUUGGGGUUACAAUCUCUCUCAAAUUUGAUCCUCUGAUUCGAUCUCCGUAAAGUGUUGAUUUAUGGAUGUGCGAUUGAUCCAGGAGCCGUUGGGGCUUGAUCUUGAGGAUGAGCGUUUCUUCAAGGGUCGUUGAGGCUUGAUCUUGAAUAACGGUGAUGAACGGAUCUUCAAGGGCUUUUUGGGGCUUGAUCUUGAGGAUGAGCGUUUCUUCAAGGGUCGUUGAGGCUUGAUCUUGAAUAACGGUGAUGAACGGAUCUUCAAGGGCUUUUAGGCUUGAUCUUGAAGGUUGAUCGAUGAACGGAUCUUCAAGGGCUUUUGGGCUUGAUCUUAAAUUACGGUGAUGAACGGAUCUUCAAGGGCUUUUGGGCUUGAUCUUGAAGGUUGAUGGAUGAACGGAUCUUCAAGGGCUUUUGGGCUUGAUCUUAAAUUACGGUGAUGAACGGAUCUUCAAGGGCUUUUGGGCUUGAUCUUGAAGGUUGAUGGAUGAACGGAUCUUCAAGGGCUUUUGGGCUUAAUCUUGAAGAACGGUUGGAUGUGUGGAUUUGUUGAUAUUGUUGAUCCAAAGGGCCGUUGGGGAUUGAUCUUAGGAUGAACGGAUGAUGAACGAUGAAUGAAGAACACUUUCUUCAAGGGCCGUCGGGGCUUGAUCUUGAAUUGGUGGAUGAUUGUUGAUCCAAAGGGCCGUUGGGGCUUGAUCUUGGAAGAACAAUGAACGAAGAACGAAGAACACUUUCUUCAAGGGCCGUCGGGGCUUGAUCUUGGAAGAACGAUGAACGAUGAACGAAGAACGAAGAACACUUUCUUGAUUCUUCGGGAACCUGGAUGCUUGAGAGCUUCGGAGUUUCAGAGCUUCAGAGCUUCAAGGUGUCAUGUGAAUUGGUCCCCUUGAAUGAAUGAAUUAGCCUUCUAUUUAUAGAAAUUUCCAAGGCCUAAUUUUGAAUAUAAUAUUCCAGAUGAAAUAAGUCGUUUCUGCCAGGUGUUAACACGUGUUCUAUUUGAUGACUUUUCUAACUUAUUUCGAUUUUUGUUUAGACAUACGCUACGUGUAAAUUUUAUGUAAUACAUGAGCGUUGAAACUUUGAUUUAUCGGUCAACAUUUAUUUACUGAAAUUUCGAUGUCUACAAAUGCCCCCACUUCAAGGCGCGUCGUAUACAUGUGCUUGUCACAUGUAGGAGAUGCGUUUUGAAGUCCCUUAUUGUAGAUGUCGAUCCAAGGGCCAUCGAGGCUUGAUCUUGAAUUGGGCUGAAGAUUUCUUCAAGGGCCGUUGAGGCUUGAUCUUGAAUUGGGCUUGAGAUUUCUUCAAGGGCUGUUGAGGCUUGAUCUUGAACUUUGUUUGAAAUUUCUUCAAGGGCCAUCGAGGUUUGAUUUUGAAGGUUGAAAUUGGACCACAAGGAGCUUCAUGUGGUAGAUGAUAUUUGGCUUUGGUAGUGGAUGAAUCGGCACGUAUUUUGUUGUGCUUGUUGACUUUCUACAGCUUUGAUCUUGAACUGGGUUGGAGGACUUUCUGGCUUCCUUCGAUUGUUUGAACUUACUUUUUAUAUGGAGUUGGAUUUGAUUCAAGGGUGAUGGACACUUGAUCUUGAAUCGUACUUGUGAUUUCUUCAACGGCCGUCGAGGCUUGAUCUUGAACUUUGGCUGGAAGCUUUUUCAAGGGCCGUUGAGGCUUGAUUCUUGAAGGUUAACUCGAACACAUGGCAAGCAGGCACGAGGUGAAGGUGACGACUUGUUGCUUUGUUCAAUCUUUCUAAUUCAUACCUGAGCAGUUUGGUCAACGGUAUGAUCUUCAAAAUUGAUGGGCUUUUCUUCCAGUUGGUGACUUGCUCUUUAAGGUUUUGAUUCAAGGGUGGUGAAUCGGCACGUGCAGCCCACAACGCCUAGCGAGUCUACCCAAGUAUUUGAGGGUCAAAACAAGUCCUCCACCCAGAGUGAUUGCAACCCUGAUGAUAUGAGAUACUCUUGCUUCUGAAGAAGUAGCAGAUGAAUCGGCACGUGCUUUGUUGUGCUUGUCUCCACAUGCUUCAAUGUAUUAUUUUCCCUUCCCUUAUCUAUUCUUCUGGCAGAAUGUGGCAUCUUCUCGAGUUCCUCAGUUCGGACUCCUUCUGCUGAGUUGACUGUGCAGGUUGCAUUCUUCUCUGCUUGUUUCUUCAGGCAGAUGUGGCAGCUUCUUGAGUUCCUCAACUCGGAUUCCUUCUGCUGAGUUGACUGUGCAGGCCGCAUUCUUCUCUGCUUGUUCCUUCUGCACGUUGUCUCCACAUGCUGCAAGGUAUCAUUUUCACUUGCCUUAUCUGUUCUCCAGGCAGAUGUGGCAGCUUCUUUGGAAAUACAGCAGCGGUGGAAGACGAGUACUCGAGAGCAGUGUUAGGUAGGCAAUCAAGGAAGGGUUCCAAGCAGUCGGUUCCUUACCCGAGUUUGAGUGGAGGUUCCGGCAUAUUGCUUUCUUUAUCCUUAUCUUUGCAGGUAAGAACAAGGACAAAGGAAAGGACAGGGAGAACGCAUGAUAUGAGAUACUCUUGCUUUCAACCCUGGUGAUAUGAGAUACUUUUGCUUUGGUGUCAUUUGUUUGCAGAGGUACCCCAAGGAAUAAGGAAUACUGAGUUACUCGAGAGGCUUCGUUGGGAAGGCAUUCUUGGAGAUAAAGAAAGGUUCUAUUUGUCUGCCUUGCUAUGGAGGGUGAAGGUGGACAGUUAUAGGAAGUUUUUUAAUACCUGUAGAGGUACUAUUCUUUCACUCGUGUCGGCAACCAUUGAGUGAUUGAUCAGUAUGGCUUCACGUGCUUUCUUCUUUAUAAGAAAUCUUCGACAAAUUGUCUGUAAUUUCUGCCAAGCUGAGUGUGCAUGUGACAGGUGUUGACGCAGCUGACAAAGACUGGCGCCUCUUCGAUAUCUGGGAUCAGCGCUUCGACAAAUUACCCGUGAUUUCCGCAAAGCUGAGUUUGCGUGUGAUGGGUGCUGAUGCGUCUGGAAAAGCAAGAUGCCUCUCCGAUUUCUAAGCUUGCCUCUUCGAUUUUUGAGCUUGGUCGAGUGUAGAGGUUGCAUGUGACAAGUGCGGACAAGUCUGGAAAGGAAGAUCGCCCGUGGUUUCUGAGCAGACCCAGCUUUUGAGAAAGCUAGCACCUCUUCGAUUUUUGAAUUGGCCUCUUCGAAUUCUGAGCUCGCCUCUUCGAUCUCUGAAAUCCUGUCGAGUGCUAAUUUUUUUAUAGAGGCACGCAGUUCGUUUCAAAGCACACUUGAAUUUUCACUUGUAGAAACUCCCUUAUUGCACUUCUAAGAUCUUGAUUUGUCUGAUCUCUUCUUUCUUUCAACACUUUUGAAAAAUGUCUGGCCCCUCCGACCGUCGUCUUGACUUGAACCUUGGUGAAGAGGCAGUCCCGCUUUCUCCAGACAACAUAUGGCGCUCAUCCUUCAUAUCCCCUACUGGUCCUCUUACCGUUGGGGAUUCGGUGAUGAAGAAUGAUAUGACCACUGAGGUGGUGGCCAGGAACCUUGUCACUCCCAAAGAUAACAGACUACUUUCCAAACGGUCUGAUGAGUUGGCUGUUAAGGAUUCUCUGGCUCUCAGUGUGCAGUGUGCAGGUUCUGUGUCUAAUAUGGCCCAACGUCUAUUUACUCAAACCCGUCAAGUUGAAUCAUUAGCGAUUGAAGUGAUGAGUCUCAAACAGGAGAUUAGAAGGCUCAAGCAGGAGAAUAAACAGUUGCAUAAGCUCGCACAUAGCUAUGCGACAAACAUGAAGAGGAAGAUUGACCAGAUGCAAGAAUCUAAUAGUCAGAUUUUACUUGAUCAUCAACGGUUUGUGGGUUUGUUCCAACAGCAUUUGCCUUCGUCUUCUGGGGCUGUACUGCGUAAUGAAGCUUCAAAUGAUCAACCUUCGAUUCCUCUUCUUCCUGGAGUUCCGCCGAGUGAUGAGGCGCCACCUGAUCAUCCUUGAAAAUCCCCUCCUGUAAAUUUGAUUUGACUUUUUUUAUUUUUUAUUUUAUUUUUUUAUUUUUUUAUUUUUUAUUAGGUAUGUAUAAUGCAAAUUUAUGUAAAAUUUCCAGAAAAAAUAAAUAAAAUGGACUUUUAUUUUUCUUAAUGCAUUUGUUUGUUUGUUUUUUUAAUUUAUUCAUUUAUUCUUGUAUGUCGGUGCGGCUGGCAGCAUAUGGGUUGUCUGUCACCAUGUGCGUUUCAAACCCCACCAAAUUACUACUUGUAUAUAACAAAUAUAUCCAUACAUGGCAUAAUCCUUCAAUCAAUGAUGCCCGUCAUCACCUUCUUUUUUUUUUUAAAUUAUUAUUAUUUUUCUUUGCUUUCGGUGGUGCUCACACUCACCACCACUCAUACCGCACCAUCCUUCAAUCAAUGAUGCCUGUCAUCACUUUUUCUUUUUUUUUUUUAAUUUUUUUUUUGCUUUCGGUGGUGCUCACACUCACCACCACUCAUACCGCACCAUUUUUUUUAAAUUAUUAUAUAUAUAUAUAUAUAUAUAUGUUCGCUACAUGGGAUGAAAGGCGGCCAUCUGCCGUAGGGGUGGAAGCUUACAGGGAGCAGGCGAGGAUGACGGAUGAAGCAUGCACAGAAGCUGGAGCAGCGGGGGCAUAGCCGUGAAGUUUGGACGGAGAGCACGGAGGCUUUGGGCAAGUUGCUGUUUAGAGGGUGACGUGGCUGGGAAAAGUUAUUGUGGGGUUUGGAGCUCUGCCACAGCAAUCAGUGACAAAUGAGGUUCGAAUGGAAGCUGGCAUCCUUCAUGGUCUUCCAGUGCCUUCUUCAACGACAAAUCUCUUAGUGACCAGCUUCUGCUCGGGAUCGACCCCGCAGUGGUGAAGGCUUCGUUCUAUGCAGCUCUCAUGGCGUUCUUAACUUGAAUCUAGCCGUUGUCUUGUUUUUCAGAGAUAAACAGGAGGAGGUUGCGGUGGCUUUCAUGGCUGAGACAAAGAAGGGAGAGUUCUGCUCAUGACUACUUGCAGUUGUUGUGACGAUGGUUGUCCUUUGCUCGCUACUGUGGAGGGAGGUUCUGAAGACGAGAAUCCCAUUGGAAUAAAGAGAAGACGGGAGCCAAGAGGAUAGACGAUCCCAGCUUUUUGUUUGAAACGCUACCAUCUCCGACUAGGCUGACGAGACACUGAAGUUAUCCUCUGAAAAUUCAAACACCGACUGCCCUUUGUUCCUUGAUGGUUGACUUUAGCGGCGGGGAGGGAGGUGCCCUUGGUGAUGUUCAAAAUGACGCCGAGUUGAGCACUGCUCUUGAAGGUCUCACAGAGGCAGGAAGCGUCGGUUUUGAGCACAAUCUUGAGGCUAUUGCAGCAAGUCUCUGCCGGCUUCGUGUCCGUGCUCCCAUUCGACAUAAAUGACAAGCAAUCCACCAUGUUCAAGAUCAGGCUCGAGCAGUCCACCGCAGAAGCCGGCGCCGCGCAGUCCCCAAGUCCAAACAGCAGCACCGCCAUCACCACCACCACAGUGCUCAUCCAAACCCUCAUUGCUGCUCUUAUUUUUUUCUUGUGGGAUUGUGAUAACUCAAGAAGGAAUGAUGGCACCAAGUAGGAAGUGGGUUGGUGAGGGGAGUCUUGGUCGAGCUUCCUUGCUAUGUCAGAGAGAGUAUAAAUCUCUCUGCACACCCACUCUCAGAAGUUUCCUAUGGCAUGGCUGCGAUGAGCCUGGUCGAGAUGAAAGCUUACAGGAAGUGGGAGGGAAUUUGGGCCUGGAUGUUGAUGCCGAGGGAGUGGUUGAAGAUGGGCUCCUUCUGUUUGAGGAGGAACUCACGGUUUUGGGUUUCAAGCCGUUGAGUGCUCACUGGGCUCACGGUUUUGGCUUCAUCCUCAACAAUCUAGCCCAUCAUUUAUUUUUUAUAUAUAUAUAUAUAUAUAUAUAUUUUAUAAUACAUUAUAACAUAUGUAUUUUUUUUUUGUACAAGAAAUUGUGAUGAAAUUGACUUUUUUUUUAUUUUAUUUAAUCGGGAAGAAACUAUAAUUUAAUUUUUUUAUACAAAUUUUUUUUUCUACAUGUGCUUACUGCAUUCAUGGAUUUCCUUGCUGUUUUGACAGAUUACCCAUGUUCACAAUUGGUGGCAGCCUCUUGUGAAUUUGCAAUUAGCGAUGGAGUGGGCAGGAUGUGGGUGUAACUGUCCAAAAGACUGCAACGGGGAUUUGCUGUGUAGUGCCUUUGAUCAUAAUUUUCCCUCGGUGGUGCCUUUACCGUGUGGUGCUGUGCAAGCGUCUGUAGUGGGGAUUUGCUGCGUAGUGCAUUUGAUCGCAGUUUUCCCUCGGUGGUGCCUUUGCCGUGUGGUACUGUGAUCUUGCCGCUUGCCGUUGCUGCUCGUUGUUACUGUUUGGAGCUGAUGGGCAGAAGGGGAGAGCUGCAGAGAUGGCAGAGUUACUGAAGCUUGAGGCAGAAUGUAAGGUGUCGAGCUUCAUGAUCGGCUAGUCAUUUGACGGCGAUUAUUGAAGUUCUUCAUCGAUUUUGAUCAUGGUGCCCAGAAUGCACUGCUAUUACUGUUCGGAGCUCGUUCCAGUACGUCACUUUUACUGUGUGGGGUUGUGCAAAAGACUGCAGCGAGUUUAUGCUAUGUAGUGCCUUUUGUUACAACUUUCCUCGGAGGUGAUGUCGCCGUGCACACCAACCAUGCCGCCUGCUAACUCGUUCCUUUAAAGAAAUAAAGUAUUCGUAUUUUGAAUUUGCUCUUUAUUCCUUAAAGCGUUUAUGUUUUUUUUUUUGAUGAUGUGACUGUACUUGAAGUUUUGAAGUUUCAAGUUGCCUACGUACCCUCGGUUGAGGAGGGAUCAAGUCAUGACGUAGUUCAAAUGAGCAAUAAAUUUAACAAUGAUUUUGAUGAUGAUUUUGCCGUACACAGUUUAUGCUCGUGCGGGCCAGGAGCUUUGGUUCAUGCAGUUUAGGCUCGUGCGAACAAAGAGCAUUGGUUGUUGCCUUUUAUGCUCGUGCAGACCAGGAGUUUUGGUGUCGCCUUUUAUGCUCGUGCGGACCAGGAGCGUUGGUGUUGCCUUUUAUGCUCGUGCAGACCAGGAGCUUUGUGCCAUGCAGUUUAGGCUCGUGCGGGCGAGAAGCCUUGUGUCUUGCAGUUUAGGCUCUUGCAGACAAGGAGCUUUGUUGGUUCGUCAAGCGAUUCGGGAGAGUUGUUCCUCGCAAUCUUCAUAGCAAGGAGCAUUGACUGAGUGAUUGAAGAAGUCUUCAGGAAAGAAAUCGAGCAUCGUGAUGGGGAUGGACGAUCUAUAUGUCAAAAUUUCAUCAUCUUCAACACGUUCAUGUUGCUUUGAAGGUUGACAAAAGCUGCUUUGCCCCCUUUCCGAUUGGCGGACUUGUGGAGGAGACGUAUGCUUCUUGUGCAAUUUCUUAUGAGUAACUUGAGUCCAUCCUUCAACUUUGCUUGUCUUGGAGGAUGCCCCCAGCGGUUGAGGUAAAAACCUUGAGUCGAAAAGCCAGAAGUGAUGGUGGUAUAGUUUGACUUCACCACAUCGUCAAGAUCUAGCUCAAUGAUUCCUUUCUGAGCCAGCUUCACGAUGAGAUCUUUCAGCACGAAGCACUUUUCUGUCGGAUGACUGAUAAAGCGAUGGAAUUUACAGUAUCUUGGACUGUUGGUAUAAUUCAUUUAUUCCGGCCGUCUACACUCAGGCAAAUCGAUCACCUUCUUGUCCAACAGGUCAUCCAGCAUGGCAACCACAUCAGAGUCGGGGAAUGGAUAAGUCUUAUCCUCAAGCUCCUUCAAAGUGCGUCUACGCAUCUCUUGAUCACAAAAAGCCUUGGUGGAUUUCCACGCAGCCUUUUCCGCCUUUAUCUCAAGAACUUUGUCGUUCUUGUAGUCGGCGAUCAGUUCCUUCUUCCCAUGAUGGGCGAUGCUUAACUCCAUGUCAUGGGCGCGGGUGGCUAGCUCUUCAAAGGUCCGUGGUUUAAUGCCUUGAAGGAUGUAUUGCAAACCCCAUUGCAUGCCUUGGAUGCACAUCUCGAUUGAAGAGGUUUCCGAGAGCCUGUCUUUACAAUCGAGGCUUAGAGUGCGCCAUCUGUUAAUGUAGUCAAUGACUGGUUCAUCCUUCCACUGCUUUGUGCUCGUUAGCUUUAGCAUGCUCACAGUGUGGCAGAUGUUGUAGAAGCGGUUGAGGAAUUCCCGCUCCAAUUGCUCCGAGCUAUUGAUGGACUCAGGCUCUAGGUCCGUGUACCACUCAAAGGCGUUUCCUUUCAGCGAGCGUAUAAACUGCUUGGCGAGGUAGUCCCCUUCGGUCCCUGCGUUGUUGCAAGUUUCAACAAAGUGGGCAAUGUGCUGUUUUGGGUUUCCCUUUCCAUCGAAUUGCAUGAACUUUGGCGGUUGAUAACCCCUCGGCAUCUUUAAGGCGUCAAUCUUCUUUGAAUACGGCUUUGAGUACAACCCGGAGGUAUUUGAGCUCCUUUCGUAUUGUGCCCUGAUGGUGUUCGUGAUCAUCUCUUGCAGCUGCUGGAUAUAAAGAGAUCCCACGAAUGCCGCUGCUUGGUCUGGCUCUGGCUUCACAUCGAUUCUCUCCACCGGAGGCUCAUCUUCUCCACUAUCUCCUCUCUUUAGUGGAUCAUUCUCUGGGUCGGGUUUCUCGCCGUCCUGCACCUCUAGUCGGUUAACUAGUGUUGCAAUUUGCAAGUCUUUUUCUUCCACAGUUCGGGUUAGCCUUGCGAUUGCUUCAUUCAUUUGAGCCAGCUGCUCAUCGAUUGAAGUUGCUCCAAUGGUCAUGACUUGCAUGGCUGAACUACCGCUUGAAUCGGCAUCGGAGAGCAUGGAUUCAGAGUAUUUCCUUGGGCUUUCCCCCCUUGGUGCCCUUAGUGAGGCUAAGGUGAUCAAAGGCUCGUGCCUUGGGUGCUCUUGUUCCCUUGGCAGAGUUAAUGCAGAGGUGAAAGAGGCGGCAGAAGUAGCUCUUGCCAUGCUUCGAGUCGUGAUGCCCAAAGUGACACCACUUGCAACGAGGACGCUCAUGUUCUUUGCGCCGGUUGCGGGAACAGUUUGAGCCUUCCUUGAUGCCAUUAAUUUUGGAAGUGCGCUUGAAUUUCUUGAACGGAGAAAGAGAUGAGAGGCAUAGAUUGUCCCACUAAGCGUGCCAAUUUGUGAACACAGAAAAUUCCUGAAACGAAAAAGACAAGAACAACGUGCACACAAAUAUUUUGUAUUUGAUGAUUUUGGGGUUACAAUCUCUCUCAAAUUUGAUCCUCUAAUUCGAUCUCCGUAAAGUGUUGAUUUAUGGAUGUGCGAUUGAUCCAGGAGCCGUUGGGGCUUGAUCUUGAGGAUGAGCGUUUCUUCAAGGGCCGUUGAGGCUUGAUCUUGAAUAACGGUGAUGAACGGAUCUUCAAGGGCUUUUGGGGCUUGAUCUUGAGGAUGAGCAUUUCUUCAAGGGCCGUUGAGGCUUGACCUUGAAUAACGGUGAUGAACGGAUCUUCAAGGGCUUUUAGGCUUGAUCUUGAAGGUUGAUGGAUGAACGGAUCUUCAAGGGCUUUUGGGCUUGAUCUUGAAGAACGGUUAGAUGUGUGGAUUUGUUGAUAUUGUUGAUCCAAAGGGCCGUUGGGGCUUGAUCUUAGGAUGAACGGAUGAUGAACGAUGAACGAAAAACACUUUCUUCAAGGGCCGUCGGGGCUUGAUCUUGAAUUGGUGGAUGAUUGUUGAUCCAAAGGACCGUUGGGGCUUGAUCUUGGAAGAACAAUGAACGAAGAACGAAGAACACUUUCUUCAAGGGUCGUCGUGGCUUGAUCUUGGAAGAACGAUGAACGAAGAACGAAGAACACUUUCUUGAUUCUUCGGGAACCUGGAUGCUUGAGAGCUUCGGAGUUUCAGAGCUUCAGAGCUUCAAGGUGUCAUGUGAAUUGGUCCCCUUGAAUGAAUGAAUUAACCUUCUAUUUAUAGAAAUUUCCAAUGCCUAAUUUUGAAUAUAAUAUUCCAGAUGAAAUAAGUCGUUCCUGCCAGGUGUUGACACGUGUUUUAUUUGAUGACUUUUCUAACUUAUUUCGAUUUUUGUUUAGACAUACGCUACGUGUAAAAUUUAUGUAAUACAUGAGGGUCGAAACUUUGAUUUAUCGGUCAACAUUUAUUUACCGAAAUUUCGAUAUCUACAGUUUAAUUGGUUUGUUAAAAUUCUAUGUAAAAGUUUAACUUAAUUCUCUCGAAAUCUCAAGAAAAAUGUGAGAUUUAUGAAUUCUUAAAAUACACUACGAAAUAUCUCUAAUAUCAUAAAAUUCCUCAACUUUUUAAAAGUUUCUAGAAUCAAUUCAUAAUUAAAUACACUUAAACUUCUUAAAAUGCUGAUAUAAAUACCAAAUAUCAUAAAAAUCCUACCCUCCUCAGUCCUCUCUGAUUUCCUUUCAAGCCAGACCGAAGAGGAACGUUUGGUUAUAUACUGUGCUGUCGUUGGUUUCCCUCGGCUGCACAAGUCUCAGUACAAAUCGGCAGCUCCUCCCUCUAGUCUACGCUGCCGGCGUCCCAGCUCCGCCCUCCACCGGCCUUCCGUCCUUCCUCGGGCAACUGUAAGUCCUUAUUCACUACUUCUUUUUCUUCUUUUCCUUUUUCUUGUAAAUUAAUUUAUAAGAUUGUUUCUGAAUUCUAAUAUUGUGAUUUUAGAUUUGAGAAAUCAAUGUUGAUGGGUUUUUAGUUGAUGAAUUUUUGUAGGGAUCUUAGGAUUUCAAUUCAUGCCCCGUUUCUAAUUUAACAUAAUUCCUAACUUUUUAGGGAUUUAAAGGUUCAAUUGAGUUAAUAGUAAAGAUGGGAGUUUUGAAUAAUUUCACUUAAACGUCUAAUUUCAAAUUUCUGAAGCGCUCCGGCCGAAUUGAGCUUCCUGACUGGACUGACAUUGUGAAGACGGCCACAUUCAAGGAGCUUGCAGCAUAUGAGCCUGAUUGGUACUACAUUCGAUCUGCAUCCAUGGCAAGGAAAAUCUACUUGACGAGUGGUCUUGGUGUUGGUACCUUCCGCAGGAUCUAUGGAGGGAGCAAGAGGAACUGAAGGGAAACAGAGAAGUAUGCAACCCUUUUUGCUUUGCUAUUUCUUUUUUUACUAAGCUUAUUCUGGACACAACUGCAUAGUAGAAGAAAAAGUCGGGUUAUACAGCACUUGCAAAGUAGAAAUUAUGCUAUGAAACGGAUGUUUCUUGAUCAUCAAACAACAAAGACUAAAAAAAAUGAUGAACGACUUUCUGAAAACAAUUUUUAUAAUCCAAAAAUUUGCUUGGUAUCGAGCUUAGAAACAUGCAAACAUGUAUGAUUUGCUUUGAAUUUCACUGAGACAUUUUAACAAACAUCAUACCUGCACACUUUGAGCCCAGCAGAAAAUGAAAUGAAGAUCAAUUCGCUCGUUGAGUGUCUAGUGCCCAUAUCUAAAAUGUCAAAAACUAGUAAAUUUGUGUUUGGUAGUAAAGUUUUUGUAAUAUAAAUUUUAAGAUAGUAACAAUGGGGGUGGCGAUGGUGUUUGUGGCUAGAGUGGUGUUGGUGGUGGUGAUGGUGGCGUUGGUGGUGGGAGAUAGUGGUGACUGGCAUUGCCAUAUCUCCAAGGUGUCUAGAUUAUUCAAUCUUCCCAUAAAGAAAGAGAAAUGCAUGAAUAACAUACCUUUUCUUUGAAAAGAAAAUAUUGUACGGCAGUCUCAAGAUUCUUCUUCCAUCCCUUCUCUUCAGUUUCUUUGUGUUUUGUAAUACUUUCACUCUUACCAUCAAAUAUGAAUGCCCUCAGUUUAAGACAAUCUUCUAGAUGCAACAGCUUCAAAGACGGAAGUUCAAUAAAUAUAACUUCCUGAGCAGAAUCUGGCAGGAGAUAUUGCAGUUGUAGAUGUUUUAGCUUGCAAAACAUGUUAUCCAUAUUUACAUCACUAUAUUCUUCGUUUGCUACAAUCUCUUCCAUUUUCUGAAUUUGGAUACCUCAAGAUGUUUGAGUUGUACAAGACUUCUAGCCAUGGAACAAAAUCUAAAACCAUCAAAGUUCCGUAAGCCUGGCAGUUUCAUUCACCAUAAUGAUUUCUUUGGCUUUUGUAUAUGUUGUUAGUUGUUUUUGAAUCCUUGCAGUUACAACAGAGGUGCUGCGGUUGGAGAGAAACCAAUAAACUUUGGUAGAUUCCACAACGUCAGAGAUGGUAAUUUUCAAAACUAACAAGGUUAUAAAGAGAUAGUGACUCCAAAUUUGGAAAGAUAUAGCCAACAAUCACCAACAUGGAUGGUGUAGCUUUUCAACUUAUCCGAGAACAUGUUGUUCGGAAGAAGGUUAGCAUCUGGAACAUGUAUGUUUAAUGCAGUUAGCUGAGACAAGUGCUUCAGCAUCAGGAACAUUAUUUCUUCCAUCGAUCAGACCUUCCACCCUCCCAUUGCUCAAUGCUGUUUGUUCCCAUUCUCAAGUCUUCUAGUCUUUUCAAGCUUGAUGAAACAUUAGGUGGAAUCAGUACAAUCUCAGAGAAACCACUCAAAUCUAAUUGUAGACGAGUCAGUUGCUCUGUUUCAUCAUGCAACUCUUUAACCUGGGAGUGGGCAAGGCAAGGCUAAGAAUUUUCAAGUUUCUUAGCUCUCCAACUAGAACAAUAUCCCCCAACACGCACUGAUCUAAGCACAAUGUUUGAAGAAUUGGUAGGUAUUUAAGAGAUGGAGAUAAUGAUGGAAAAUGAAGCACAGUUAAAUCCAACACUUUGAGCUCUUUCAUCUCUCCGCGAUUCUUCUUCGCAAAGUCAAGCUGAAAAUCUUUUUGGGUAUGCAUCUCAUAUACACAUUUCGCUCUCUAGAUGUCAAAAGUAAAUUACAAGCCGGUGCCCGGCGAAGUCCCACAAGGUCCAAAUGAAUUCUUCCCAAAACAUCAUCUAAAAUAACAAGUGUUCUUGUCUUUUAUCCUGUCCCAUAAACAAUUUACCCUUCUCUCAGAUUCAUCAAUGUGCAUACCGAACUUUUCUGCAAUUUGUUUCUGAAUUUUCUCCAGGUCUUCUUUUUCAUUGACAUUCAGUAUUAUAACCACAUCAUCAUAUAACUUAUCUUGUGCAGCUUGUCUGAAAACCUGUUUGGCAUCAAAUUAAAGGACAAAUGGAGCAUGAGUUCAAGUGACUCCUUAGGUUUGAAGGUUGCUUUUGUAGUGAAUCAGGUAUCCCACUUGACGUCCAACUGGAACAACUGUGUACUCAAUUAUUUUUCCAACGACCUUGGGAAUAAAUGAAGGUAAGACAAAACAACAUGCCACUUUCAGUUUAGUAAUGUAUCUGUUGAACAUAAACGAAGCCAAAAACAUGGAAAAAAUCUAGAAAUUUAUGCAACAAAAUAAAAUGAAAAAUGGAAAGACAAGAAUAAAAUGUGAUUGACAUUGAAUAAUGAAACAAAAGACAUACCUUAGCUCGUGAGAGGGAGACGAACGGCAAAGAAGAAGAGAGUAUGUAACUUGUGAGAGUGAGAGUAACGGCAAAGUAAAAGCAAAGUGAAGGUGAACGACAACAGAAAUUGCAAAGUUGUGUUGUGAAAUGAAAUUAGAGGACAAAUGAAGAUAAGUGAAAUAAGUGUGGUUUACCGUAUUAAAACGAAGUCGGAUGAGUUGCUAUUCAAUAAUACGGUCUAGUUGUAUUUUUCUUCAUUUGUAAGCAAGGAGAACGACAACAGAAAUUGCAAAGUUGUGUUGUGAAAUGAAAUUAGAGGACAAAUGAAGAUAAGUGAAAUAAGUGUGGUUUACCGUAUUAAAACGAAGUCGGAUGAGUUGCUAUUCAAUAAUACGGUCUAGUUGUAUUUUUCUUGGGAGCAGCCUCUCCAUAAAUGGGGGUAAGGCUAGCCGACAUUCACCUCUCUCAGACCCUGCGUAAAGCGGGAACCUUGUGCACUGGGUACGACAUUUUUGUAAGCAAGGAGUCUUAGGUUCUAACUUCGUGAAUGAUGAUUGAUAAGUUUGAUACCAAUCUAUUCUUACCACCUUUAGUUAAUCUCUUUAUGGCCCGAUAUUAUUUUUAGUGAUGCUCAAUAUCCAUCUCAUUCUGCACCCCAAGUCCACUGUGAGAUAACUUGCAUAAGAAUCUUUUUUCUUCAAGCUCUCAAAAUUACUCCUUCCCUCCAUUGUAGAAAGAUGGCAAUGGUCGAGAUUUAACAAAGAGAGGUUUACGAUUCUCCAAUGAUGUUUUUUUAUAGGUUUGAUCAUGUAUAUGAGCAUUUGAUAGUGAAUACAUGUAUAGUGCUUCACAAUUGAAAAGAAGUGGAAUGGUAGUUUCAGGUAAUUGCCGAGAUUUUUGUUGAUCCCCUUUUGUUGUGCUGCCAAUUUUGAGUUCCUAUCAUGUAAAUUGGUUGACUAAAAUGUUAGUGUAUGCAAAAAGGUUGUUGAUGCUGUUGGUUUUUUUCUGUAACUGAUUUAAGAGUUGCUAUUGUAUUCUUAGCAUAAACGUCAGACUGCCAAUGACAUUCUUUUGUUUUCUAUAGCUGCUAGUGUCUAAACCUCCAACAAAAUGGGAAACUUUUGCCAAAACAAAAGGUAAAUCAUUACUGUAGGAGUCAAACAGUACCUUUCUUCUGUUUCUUUUAAGGCUCUAUUUUGGUUUCUCAUAUGUGGCCAUUUGGGCAUUGAGAGUUGUAGUUGGAUUUAAGAUUUUGAGAAAUUGGAAUGUCCUUUAGGAAAAUGACGCAAUUUGGGAUUUGGACCUGUCAAGUUGUUAUAUGAAAAGUCAUAGGUAUCCACACUCACCAUUUUCAGAAUUGUUGUAGGGAUUUCCCUUGAGAGAUGGUUGCGUGAGACACUGAGAACCUAUAAAUUUGUGAGAUGUUCCAAGUCUGAAGGUAUCACUCUGGAGAGAGAAUUGCUGGGUCCAAGUUGUAACUCUGGAGUAAUUUACCAAUCUGUGCCGGUAUUUCACCAGUCAAGUGGAUCUGGCUCAAGUUUAGAAGCUGCUGUUUUGUCAUUUGUCCGAGCUCAGGUGGGAUUGGACCUGUAAUUUUAUUUCAACCAUACACAUUUUCCCCACUGUGGUCAGAGUGUACCAACAAACUGGUUCUCAUCAAGAGCAAUGAAUUCAAGAAUGAAUUGAAAUAUAGGAAAACUAACGAAAAAUCCAAAAAAACUUCUCUUUUAACGAAAAGCCAUUUUUAAAGGUAUAGUGAAUAGUGCAAGUUAAAGGUAAAAAUGUGGUUUUUCGUUAAAAGUGAACAGUACCGGGAGCGUUUUGUUAAAACUCCCUUGAAAUAUUCAAUGAGCUUUUAUGCGCAUUUCUGGUUUAGUACAUUAUUUUAACACAUACACUAUUUAUAAUUCAUUUGACAUUCCCGCGGCAACACGUGGGCUAAAACUACAGUAACUACGAGUCCUCUCUACAUUCUAGUCCUCAAUGGAGAUGCUCUUAAGAAGAUGAUUGGAAAUGAUAUUUUUCAUGUAUCACAAGAAGCAAUAAAAUGAGUACCAAUUCAAGGAUAAAGCUGUUUCAGUAGACGUGCACACAAGCACCACUUCAAAUGCAUCAAUGUUUACAUAAAACACACAAGCUUUAUUUCCCAAACACCAAAACUGAAAGUGUAGCGAACAAGGCUUCAAAUACAAAUCACACUUUUACGGCGAAACACAUGAGUCAAAACAAGCAUAACAUGACAUGGAAUAUGCAUCAGUGCCUUCCCAAAUUGCACAAGUUUCUGGGACAGCUUUUCAUUGAAGCCGCAGCUUGCAUGCUUAUAUUAAACAAGAUGAGAUCAGCCAGGGAAGCAAGGUUGGGCACAGACCGUUGAGGGGAGAACAGAGAAUAGUUAGAGUAAGUAACAAGAAAACUUGAGUAUAAUGAAAGUAGCAACCACAAUAACGCCAAAGCCAAGAAAGCGUGCAUCCUCUAGGAUCUCCAAUGCGCAUUUCCUUUGACUCCAGGUAGCAUAGUUUUAACCAUUAAACAUUUGAACAAACCAAUGUGAUUUCCGUGGAAUGUGUAGUGUGGUCCAACAUAUCAGAGUGCCUUCCAGUCUGCUUUCCAGGCUGAUAUUUCUUCCUUUAAAAAAAAAAACAGAAGGAAGAGGAAAAUAACACACGAACAUGCAAUCGCACACAAUCGGAAAACCUUAACACGCCAGGCAAAAGAUGAGGAUUCCUUUUUGGCAGAGAGUCUUGCAAUUGUAACAUCUACAUUUGAAUCCGCGAUCACCAGCUGCUCCUGUAGAAAUAUAUAUUUAGUGGACAAUUAUAAAUAAACACAUAAACUAUUCAGUAUGAAAUCUGACUGAACAACUAUGAAUAAGAUGAAUAAAUCAAACUUUUAAAUUUGACUACAAGGUUCGGAAAAAGCUGAAAAAUUGGAGAGUGAAAUUAACAGAUGCUUAAUUAGUGAAUGAAGAACUUACGAUUUGAUCACUUUCAUUCUCCUUUGAAUCACCUAGCUUUUGUACAUCAUCAGUUUCCUCUGCUAUUUGUAGUCUUUCUGGUCUUGGAUCACUUUGGAGUAACCCAUCAAGAGAAAUCGUUAACUCAAUCAACGGGCACUUCUCGACAAUCAAAUUGUUGGACGGUAAGGAUGGGACCUUGAAAAUGUAAUUUCCAGUGCAAAAUCCUUGCAGACUUGGUAGAUCAAAAAGUUUCAAAUGUUGCAAGCAACUGAAAGUAAUCUCAUUUUCUGGAUCAUCUCUGUUGCUCACUACUAUUUCAACCAUUCUUUCACAGGACUCAACUUCGAACUCCUUGAGUUGCUGCAAAUUCUUCGCCACAGAAUAAGGUAUUAAGUAUUGCAGUCCAUGACAAAACCGUAUGGCCAAACUGGUUAGAUUCCGAAAGGAUAUCAAAGUUGAAGCUAGAUUCUCUAAUCUGCCACAUUUUUGCAGACAUAGAAUUUCCAAGUUUGGAAAAACAGGGACCCCUGGUUCGGAGUUUUCCAUUCCUAGAUGUAUCAGCUCCGGCAUACCGAUGAGCCACAAAGUCUUUACACGUGGGAAGGUCUCAGCUUCAUGUAUUUCCCCGCUACUACUUCCUUGGUGGUUGUGGACAAUUAAUUCUUUCCAAGGAGCAGAGAGAACACCGAGGUUUUCAAUAUUCUGUAAAUUCUCAAAGAAAACAUCUGACUUGGGAUGUGAAGUAGCAAAAUAAAUCGAUUUUAUUUUGCUUAACAACUCUGCCGGAAGUGGACCAUACGGCUCAUACCAAAUCUCUGUGUUCUCGUCCAACAUCAAGUAUUCCAAGUUGAUGAAUGACUUACCCUAAAAUAUAAUCAACAGUAAUGACAUGCUUUAAAAUAUUUUGAAAAAUUGGACACCACAUAAUAACUUUAAUAUUAAAAACUUAAUAAAUAUAUUUACUUGAUGUGUUUGUUUAACUAGUAUGUAAAAAUCACACAAAAUUCGAAUAUCAAAAGAAUUGUGUUGGUUACCUUCUCAAUUAAAAAGAAAGGCUGUUUCAUUGGUGUCGGAUGGCCCAACUCAAGUUUGUCUUGAUAUGUUGAAGAUUCAGAAGCAAAAAUCUCCACAUUAGCACAUUUCUUGAAAUUUAAUGUAUUGAGUAAUGGCCAAUUAGAAACAUGCAGCCCUGGAUAGAAACUCUGUAGUUGAGGUAGAUCUUCAAACAUCAUACAUGUUACUUUAGAGAAUUCAAAACAGUUCAACUGAGUGGUAGAUGAUGUGUCAUAUACCACUUGUAGUGAUUGGCACUGCUUUAUUUGUAAUGUCUCUAGAGCAUUUAAUCUUCCCAUGAUACUUGGCCCAAAGAUAUUAAUCAGACUGUGGCAUCUACGAACAUCCAUAAUUCUAAGCUUGCUAAAAGAAUCUGAAUGAAGUUGGUUGUGGAAUAUUGUCUUCAACUUAGGUAAGUCCCAUAUGUACAACGUAUCCAAGCUAGGAAAUCCUACCUGUCACAUAUUCAUUUAGAAUUUGUGAACAAACCUUUUUUCACAAGAGUGGGACACAUGCAUAAGUUGGAAACAAAAGCUUAAAGAAACAAGUGAAGGUAUAAUUCACCUUUUCAUCAAAGAGCUCAAUAUCUCUUUCUUCUUUGUUGGUUGUAAUAUUUUCACUCUUAGCAUCAAAGAUGAAAGUCUUCAGUUUAGUACAAUCGUCUAGAUCCAAAUACGCCAAAGACGGAAAUUUAAUGUAACUUCCUGAGCUAAAUCUAGUGAGAUUUGGAAGAUGUUGUAACUCUAGACGGUUUAGCUUAUCAAACAUAUCAUCUGUAUUCUCCUCAUUUCUCACUAUCUCUUCCAUGAUUUGACAAUUGGAUAUCUUGAGAUUUUUGAAUUGUCUGAGACAUUUAGCCAUGGAACUCGAAAACAAGAAUCUUAAACUAUCACAUUGAUGCACAGUCAAG